rnacentral:lncRNA from 1 species
UGAUCUUCCGGUAUCAGGUGUGUAAGAGCAAAGGGAGGUGGGUAUAAGACUCCCAAAGCCGGAGAAGCCAUGGUUUCUUGUAGGUUUCAAGGCAGAAAUGGUAAGAGACGGGUAGGGUUUGGAAACUUUGAGAGAGUUUGAGAGAAAGGAGGUUUCAGAGGCGGUGGGUUAGGUGAAAUGAUUUAGGGUUAAGGGGUGUUGGUGGAUUAAAAAGGAAAUGAGGGAUUGUGGCGGUUGAUCAUUUUGAUAAACGGCCUGGAUUUAAUGAGGAGCUGGGCGGGUUAAACUUAAGCGGAUCAAAGGGGGGUAAUUUGGGCCGGUCCAUUUGAAAUUGAAAUUGGGGUAGAUUUGGGCUAAAAUUGAAAUAAAUAGGGCUAGAUUUUAAAUAGCUCCUUUUUCCAUUUUUAUUUUAUAAAAAUAGUAAAUAGUUUCUAAAAACUAAUGAAAGGUACUAAAUAAAUUAAUAAUAUAUAAAUAUUAAAUUAAAAAUAUUGGAAUUAAUUUUGUAAUAAUAGACACAAUUAAAUCUUAAAGAAGGCUAAUAUUGCAAUUAAGUGCAAUUUAUAUUUAAAAAUGCCAAAUAAAUUUAUAAACAUGUAAAAAAAUUACCUUAGAUAUAUUUUGGUAUAAAUAUAAGAAUACAAUAAAUUAUUUACCAAAAUUGAUAAUUUGGGAAAUAAUUAUUGGUUUUUUACCGAAAAAAUAAAGCGAUAAACUAGUUUAAAAAUCUUUAAAAAAUUGGAUAAACUAAAAAGCUUGGACAUGCUUAUAUAUGCAUACAUAUGCGAUUUGAAAGUAUUUGGCAUAUGUAAAAUAUAUAGGAAAAAUUUGGUAUCAACACAGCUUAUAGAGCCUAUGAUAAGUGAGGGAGUGAGUAUCUGCCCUCCUAGGAUAUUUCUUCAGACUCACUGCCAACCCAUAUCAUCCCAAGUUUCAUAUUGACAGAUGGAACUCCUCCACCAUCACCCACUUCCCAAUCACCACAACAUGUUCCUAUUGAGUCGUCUGAGGGCUCAGCAGCCGAUAGUAGUGAGUACUCCACCUCCCCCUCAGCUUCAUUCUCUGGGGAGAGUGCAGACGAAGGUGAGGAAAAGGUACAAGAGGAUGAGAAGGUACCUGAGGGUGGUGAGCCUCAAAUUGGGCGCAUUGCUCGAACUAGAAAGCCCAAUAUUUUGGAGGAUAUGCUUGUGAGUCAGGUGGCAUACCACAAAUUUCGGGAGAGGCGGCCGGUGAGAAAAUUAAUUCUGGUGAAGAGCUUUAUAGACAGAGACCUUGUACCCCCACAAACCCAAUGCGCAUAGAGAGUUCAGGACUCCAGUGGCUUGGGAUCACUUCUUAUAUGAUUGUGUCGACGCCAAUAAACACUUGGUCAAAAUUUUUUAUUUUAACGUAGCCCACAUCGUAAAGGGCUCCAAUGUUAUCUAGGUUCAGAACCUCAAGGUGUUGUUUGACAGGAAGUCGCUCAACGAAUAUCUAGGUUUCAAUGAAGAAGAAGAGACUCUUUAUAUGUGACAAUCCGUCCCGUCGUCACAUGAGUUACCACCUUUCUUUCCCUAUUUUAUGCUUCUAUAUGUUUCAUUUUAUGUGUUAAUCUGAAGUAACUCAGAUAGAGUUUGGUUGGAAAAAAGACAAUUAUUCUCUUUAUGAGAAGGUUAAUUUGGAAAAGUCAACUGAAUGUCGACUUAUGCGUUAUAGGGAUUGGAAUAGAUUUUCGAUGAUCCUAUUAGCUUUAGGGGAUGAUCUUUGGCUUAGGAGUGAAAUUAGAAUUCAAUUUGGAGGCCCAGAGUAGAAUUUGGCUUGAAUUGGCUAAGUUUGAAUUUUGGCAGAUUUCAGUUGAUAGGUGAGAUUUUGAUCUGCAGGUCGGAAUGGGAUUCCGAGAGUUUCAGUAGCUCCGUUAGGUAAUUUUUGAUAUACGUGCAAAGUUUUAGGUCACUCGGAGGUGUUUAGAUCGGGUUUUUGAUGGAGAAUGCAAUUCGGGAGAUUUUUAGAAAUGUAGGCUUUGAUUUGAUCAUUAUUGAGGAUUUUGAUGUCAACAUUAGAAUUUUGAUGAUUCGAGCGAGUUUGGAUGGAGAUUAGAUAUGUUCUGUGCCUUUGGUUAGGACCCCGGGGGCCUCGGGGUGAUUUCAGGUGGUUGAGCAGAGGUUUUUGGAGUGGUUGCAUGAAAAUAAGGUCUGGCUUCUGGUAUUUCCCCAUCUGCAGAAAAGGAGCCGCAAAAGUGGUUCCGCAUAUGUGGCUAGGUUGAUUGCAGAAGCGGCCCAUGAGGUUGCAGACUAGGGUAUCGCUACUGUAGGUCUGCAUAAGCCGAAAGGAAGCCGUAAAAGCGGAAGGGGAGAAUCCGCUGAAGCGCGUUGUGAUCGCAAAGGCGGAGGCUUGAACCUUUAAUGAGAAACCGUAGAAGUGAGAGAAUGGACGUAGAUGAGAUUCUUGGACAGCAGAAGCGGAAACCACUGUUUGCAGAAUGGUUUAAAACAUUUAAUUCUUUCCGCGAGUACAUUCAUAACUUCCUCCGUUUUUACCAUCUUGGGAGCUUUUUGGCAGAGAUUGAAGAGGGUUUCGACGGGAAUUGAUUGGGGGUAAGUCUUGAGACUUAGAAACUUCAUUUUUGUUAAGAAUCAACAUUAACUUCAUGGAAAAUUUUGGGAGAAACUUGAAGAACUAGGGCUAGAGUUUUUAAAUUCUAAAUGGGGAUUUGACGGCCAAUUUGAGCUAUGAUUUUGGUAAAUUUUAUAUGUACGAACUCGUGGAGAAAUGAGGAAUCCAUUGAUGUGACUUUCACAAUUUUUGGAGAAGUGGGCCCGGGGCUUAGGUAUUGCCAAAUUCGUGUUUUUGGCUGUUUUUUGAGUUCUUUAUAUUGGGUUAUGUCCCAGUAGCCUAUUAUAACCUAUUCCUUGUAGUUUUGGUUAAAUUCUGCACUCGAGGAGGUUUACUUGCGAGGAAAGCGUAAGGCGAGCUAGGAUUUUAGCUGGUUUGAGGUGAGUAAUGGUUAUGAAUGAUAUACUGAGGGUUUGAAACCCCGUAUUUGCACUAUGUCAAUGAUGGACGAGUUUUGUAAUUUUUUGAGAAGUGGGCCCGGGGCUCGGGUUUUGCCAACUUCGUGUUUUUGGGUGACUUUCGAGUUCUUUCUAUUGGGUUAUGACCCAUUAGCCUAUUAUAACAUAUUUCUUGUGGUUUUGAUCAGAUUCUGCACCCGAGGAGGUCGAUUCGCGAGGAAAGCACAAGGCGAGCUAGGAUUUUAGCUGGUUUGAGGUGAGUAAUGGUUAUGAAUGAUAUACUGAGGGUUUGAAACCCCGUAUUUGCACUAUGCAAUGCUAUGUUGAGAUGAAACACGCGUCGUGUGAUGAGCGUUGUGAUGUUUCUGCUGGGGACUCGGACAUGGUCCAUCUCGACUGAUGACUUACUACACUUUUUGACUGAGACUGAGCUUAUAUCCGUAUAUUUUGGGCUAGUUGCCAUGUUUGGGGCCUUGUGCCGAUCUGUAGAACUAUUUGGGGGCAUGUGAGCUGAUUGACCCCACUUACCUAUUGAACACACACUAUCUGUCAUGUCCUUAACUGUGAAUCAUGAAAUAAACCGAACUUUGUAACUUGCACGCUAAAUGAGCAAUGCCUAGGGUUGAAUACCCUAUCUUAGUUUAGUGGCCUGAGAGGCCAAGUCUAUAUUGACUGAGAGGGGUCAAGGACCCUGUAGUAAGGGUAUUUGAAAUAUACCGGAUCAGGAUGCAUGACGCAACAGUAUAUACCCAUACAUGUGUUGGAUUGGACUACACGCCGCAGUCAUAUACUAUAUAUAUGGAUCGGACUGCAUGCCGCAGUGAUAUAUCAUAUGGAUCGGGCUGCACGCCGCAGUAUUAUAGCAUUGGGCUGAAGGAGCUCCUCCGGAGUCUGCACACAUCCCUUGUGAGCGUAGUCGACUAUAUUUAUUAGAUCGGGUUGCGUGCCGCAAUAUUAUACAUAUAUUAUAUUGGAUCGGACUAUGUGCCGCAGUAUUAUGAAUUAUAUCGGAUCGAGCUGCGCACCGCAACCGUGUUAGUAAAUUGUCGGACGGAAUAGAGGAGUUAUUAUCAGUUUCGUUUUUCCUAUUUAGCAUAUUUUUACUGCCUUCACUGUUGAUUUUAGAACUGUACAGUGUUCUUACCGGAUUUCUUAUAUUCAAUUGUUAUUUAUUGUUAUUAAUCAUUGAGUAGGAGUACUCACUCUACUCCUUGCACCAUAUGUGCAGAUACAGGGAUCCCGGAGGCUUAGCUGUGAUUAUCUGUUGUUGCCCAGUUUAGUACAGGAUUUAUCGAGGUAGUUGCUGGUGUGUAGGACCUGAUUCCUCCUCUUAUGUAUCUUUUACUUCCGCAUUAAGAUUACCAUUGUAUAGGAUAUUGACCAGUUGUAUUUAGAGGCUCUGACUUGAUGCGCCAAAUCUCUUGGGUUGUUAUUACUCGUUAUGAUUUCUGCACUGUCCCUAUUAAUAUUAAACUAAGGCUUUUAUGGUAAAAUUGGAAUUUUAAAAUAAUGAUUUGGUUACAAAUGUUCGAAUGGUCGGGCUUGCAAAACAAGGUGUUGGGUGCCAUCACGACCGGGGUUUGGGUCGUGAUAAGUUGGUAUCAGAGCUUAGGUUACCAGGCCUCGUGAGUCAUGAGCCAGUUUGUAGAGUCUUGAAGAUCGGUACGGAGAUGUCUGUACUUAUCCUCGAGAGUCUACAGAACCUUUCGGAAAAACUUCUAAUUCUUGAAAUUCUUAUUGUGGGAGAACUAAUCUUCUGUAUUUUAUUAUCUCGCAGAUGGCGAGGAAGCACGUUACCAGACAUGGCGUAAGACCACCAUUUCCACCCACUAGAGGCCGAGGACAUGGCCGUGGUCGACACAGAGCAGCAAUGGCAGCGCCAGUUGACCCACCUGUUUACCCCACUCAGGAUCAGCCUCCAGCUGUAGAGGUUCCAGUAACACGUGCCUAGGCACCAGCUGUUCCUAUCGUGACUCCGGGUCUUCAGGAGGCUCUGGCUCAGAUUUGAUGAGUUUGCACUGGCCUGGCUCAGGCAGUCUCAACCACUACCGCCGCAGCUAUAUCUCAGACAGAGGGUGGUGAUCAGACCCCCGCAGCUCGCACUCCAAAGCAGGCUGUACCGGGUUUACAGACACCGGAGGCACCACCACUUCAGCCAGUAGUUCUGGUUCAGGGCAGUGGGGUGCCAGUGAUGCCAGAUGACGAGCAGUGUCGUCUUGAGAGGUUCAGCACGCUUUCACCUUAUACUUUCAGCAUUAUUCCGGGUGAGGAUGACCAAGGGUUUCUUGACAAAUGUCAACGCAUGCUUCGGACAGCAGGGAUCUUAGAGACGAACGGGGUAUCUUUCACACUUUUAAGUUCUCAGGAGCAGCCUUUACAUGGUAGGAGGCAUAUGAGCGGCGUAGGCCGGUAGGUGUAGUGUCAUUGUUUUGGCAGGAGUUCUCUAUUAUCUUUCUGGAGAAGUGGUUACCACUGUCGCAGAGGAAGGGUUUUCGCAGGAAGUAUAGUGGCUACGUCAGAUGGAUAUGUCUAUGACACAAUAUGAGGUGAGGUUCUUAGAGUUAGCUUGUUAUGCUCCAUGGAUGGUUCCGACAGAUCAGGAGGGGAUCAGACGAUUUGUGGACGGAUUCAUUUAUCCCAUCCUUAUUCUGAUGACUCGAGAGAGGGUCCUGAGUCAUACCUUUGAGGAGGCAGUGGAUAUAGCUCGUGAUAUUGAGAUGGCUUGCCGUCAAGAGAGAGAGGAGAGGGAGGCCAAGAGGCCUCAAGGAUAAGGUAGCUACAGUAGUGCUCCGCCUAGGGGUUAUUUUCAGCAGAGCAUGGGUCGUUCUUUUAGGCCUCCACAGCCAGCUACCUCAGAGUACUGUGGGUCAUCUUCUGGUCGGGGUUAUCAGGUCUCUCAAAAGGGUUAGCCAUCUCUGAGUGCACUUCCAGCACAGAGUUCUUCUUAUGCCCCAUCUGUUCAGGGUUCAUCCCAGCUGAGUUCUUCAGCCAGCCACUCUAGUGUGAUGGGUUCCCGUCAGUCCCAGCACUUAGCGCCAGGGAGUUGUUAUGAAUGUGGCAGUUCAGGGAUAUCAACGAAUAUCUAGGUUUCAAUNNNNNNNNNNNNNNNNNNNNNNNNNNNNNNNNNNNNNNNNNNNNNNNNNNNNNNNNNNNNNNNNNNNNNNNNNNNNNNNNNNNNNNNNNNNNNNNNNNNNNNNNNNNNNNNNNNNNNNNNNNNNNNNNNNNNNNNNNNNNNNNNNNNNNNNNNNNNNNNNNNNNNNNNNNNNNNNNNNNNNNNNNNNNNNNNNNNNNNNNNNNNNNNNNNNNNNNNNNNNNNNNNNNNNNNNNNNNNNNNNNNNNNNNNNNNNNNNNNNNNNNNNNNNNNNNNNNNNNNNNNNNNNNNNNNNNNNNNNNNNNNNNNNNNNNNNNNNNNNNNNNNNNNNNNNNNNNNNNNNNNNNNNNNNNNNNNNNNNNNNNAGGGGGUUGUUAUGAAUGUGGCAGUUCAGGGAUAUGCGGAGGGAGUGUCCCCGCCGUGCAUCCAUUUCAUCUCAGCAGAGGGGCCAGCCCUCAUCUUCUGGCCCAGUGUCUUUGGCACACGCCCAGUCAGCUAGGGGUGAGGUUCAGGCAGUUAGGGGUCUCCCCAAAGGGGGAGGCCAAUCCGGUAAGGUUCAGGCUCAUUGCUACGCUCUUCAAGGCAGGUCAGAUGUUGUUGCUUUGGAUGAUGUUGUUACGGGUAUUAUUUCAGUCUGCCAUAGGGAUGCCUCAGGCUUAUUUGAUCCCGGAUCCACAUAUUCCUAUGUAUCUUCUUACUUUUCUCAUCAUUUGGGUGCUAUCUGAGGGUGUCUUGCGUUACCUCUGCGCGUAUCUAACCCGGUGGGCGAUACUAUUAUUGUGGACCACGUGUGUCGGUCCUGUCUUGUUACUAUUGGGGCUUGGUGACCCGAGUUGACUUGCUGCUAUUGAGCAUGGUACAUUUAGAUGUUAUUCUGGGCAUGGAUUGGCUAUCACCGUGCCAUGCUAUUCUAGACUGUCAUGCUAAGAUAGUCACAUUGGCUAUGUCGGGUAUUCUGAGGAUCAAGUGGUGUGGUACGAAUGAUUAUGUACCCAGAAGGGUAAACUAUUUCUUGAUGGCCCAACGGAUGGUUGGGAAGGGAUUCUUAUCAUAUCUAUAAUUUUUGAGGGAUGUUGGAGAUGAGGCUUCUGGUCUUGAUUCGGUUCCCAUGGUGAGAGAAUUUCCUGAUGUGUUUCCAGUAGACCUGCCGGGCCUGCCAUCGAACAACGAUAUUGACUUCGACAUUGAUUUGGUGUCGGGCACCAGCAGAGCUAAAGGAGUUGAAAGAGCAGCUGCAGGAACUCCUAGAUAAGGGGUUCAUUCGCCUGGGUAUGUCACUGUGGGGCGCACCGCUGCUAUUUGGAAAGAAGAAGGAUGGCACAAUGAGAAUGUGCAUUGAUUAUAGACAGAUGAACAAAGGUAUAGUGAAGAACAAGUAUCCACUACCUUGUAUUGAGAAUUUGUUUGAACAGCUUCAGAGGGAAAAGGUAUUCUCUAAGAUUAAUCUUCGUUCAGGCUAUCAUAAAUUGAAGAUUAGGGCUUCUGAUAUUAUGAAGACAGCUUUCAAGACGAGAUAUGGGCAUUAUGAGUUCUUGGUUAUGUCAUUUGGGUUGAAUAAUGCCCCAGCCGCAUUUAUGCACCUGAUAAACAGUGUAUUUCAUCCGUAUAUGGUUUCCUUUGUGAUCGUGUUUAUUGAUGAUAUUCUCGUAUACUUGAGUAGCUAGCAGGAGCAUGUGCAACACUUGAGAGUGGUAUUGCAAAGGUUGAGAAAGGAGAAGCUUUAUGCAAAGUUCUCCAAGUAUGGGUUUUAUCUCAGUUCCAUUGCUUUUUUGGGACACUUGGUAUCCAGUGAUGGUAUACAGGUUGACCCAAAGAAGAUUUAGGCGGUGCAGAGUUGGCCCUGGCCGUCCUCAGCUACUGAUAUUCGUAGUUUCCUCGAUUUAGCGGGUUAGUAGGGUUUUUCAUCUAUCGCUUCUCCUUUGAGGAAGUUGACGUAGAAGAAUGCUCCAUUUGCGCGGUCAGAUGAAUGCGAGGAGAGCUUCCAAAAGCUCAAGUCAGCUUGACCACAGCUCCGUACUAGUGUUGCCAUCAGUUUCAGGCUCUUACACGGUGUAUUGUGAUGCUUUGAGAGUUAGGAUUGGAUGUGUGUUGAUGCAGGAGGGUAGAGUUAUGGAGUAUGCUUGCGUCAGCUAAAGCCCCAUAAGAAGAACUACCUUAUUCAUGACUACGAGUUGGCUGAUAUAGUUCAUGCAUUGAAUAUUUGGAGGCACUAUCUAUAUGGCUUAUCCUUUGAGGUGUUAAUGGACCAUCGCAGUCUUCAACAGUUGUAUAAGCAGAAGGAUCUCAAUUAGAGGCAGCAGAGAUGGCUUCAGUUACUCAAAUAUUAUGAUAUUACCAUUUUGUAUCAUCCGGGGAAAGCCAAUGUAGUGGCCGAUGCUUUGAGUUGUAAGUCGGUUAGAAUGGGUAUGUUAGCGUACAUUCCAGUUGGGGAGGGUCCCCUUGUAGUUGUUGUUCAGGCCUUGGCAAAUCGGAUGCUGAGGUUAGAUAUUUCUGAGCACAGUCGGGUGUUGGCUUGUGUGGUUUUUCGAUCUUCUUUGUAUGAUCGCAUUAGGGAGCUCCAGUAUGAUGACCAACAUUUUCUUGUCUUUAAGGACAUGGUCUAGCAUGAUGAUGCCAGAGAUGUGACUAUUGGUGACAAUGGUGUGUUGCAGAUGCAGGGCCGGAUUUUCAUGCCCAAUGUGGAUGGGCUCCGAGAGUUGAUAUUUGAGGAUGCCCACAGCUCGCAUAUUCCAUUAAUCCGGGUGCCGCGAAAAUGUACCAAGAUUUGACACACCAUUAGUUGUGGAGGAGAAUGAAAAAGGAUAUUGUGAGUUAUGUGGCUCGGUAUCUCAAUUGUCAGCAGGUCAAGUAUGAACAUCAGAGACCUGGUCGUGUACUUCAGCAGAUGGAUAUUCUGGAGUGGAAAUGGGAGAGCAUUAGUAUGGACUUUGUGAGUGGUAUCUCUCGUACCUCGAAGAAUUUUGGUUCUAUUUGCGUGAUUAUGGAUUGGUUGACCAAGUCCGCGCACUUCAUUCAGUGUGUACUACCUAUUCUUCAGAGCGGUUAGCAGGGAUUUUCAUCUGUGAGAUUGUGCAGAUGCAUGGGGUCCCAGUUUUUAUUGUCUCAGAUAGGGGUACUCAUUUUACUUCAUAGUUCUGGAGGACCUUUCAUCCGAGUUGGGCGCAUAGGUACAUAUGAGCACAUAUUUUCAUCCUCAGACGGAUGGGCAAUCAGAGCGUACUAUUUAGAUAUUGGAGGACAUGUUGCGUGCCUGUGUUAUUGAUUUAAAAGGUUCUUGGGCUGUGUUUUUGCCACCUCUAUAGUUUUUUAUAACAAAAGCUAUCAAUCCAACAUUCAGAUGGCGUCGUAUGAGGCUUUAUAUGGGAGGCGGUGUAGAUCUCCGGUUGGCUGGUUUGAGCCCCGCGAGGCUAGACUUCUAGGGACGGAGUUAGUUCAGGAUGCCUUCGAGAAGGUGAAAGUGAUUCAAGAGAGACUUUGCACAGAUCAGUCGUGUAAGAAGAGUUAUGCGGACCAGAAGGUUCGAGAUGUAUCUUAUAUGGUGGACGAGAAGGUCUUGUUCAAGGUUUAACCGAUGAAAGGCGCUGUGAGGUUUGUGAAGAAAGGAAAACUGAGUCUGCAGUUCAUUGGGCCUUUAGAGAUACUUAGGAGGAUUGGGGAGGUGGCCUAUAAGCUUUCUUUGCCACCCAGCUUGUGAAGAGUUCACCCGUUGUUCCAUGUUUCUAUGCUCCGGAAGUAAAUUGGGGACCCGUCUCAUGUAUUAGACUUCAGUAUGAUCCAGUUGGAUGAGGACUUGACCUAUUAUGUGGAGCCGGUGGCUAUUUUGGGUCGCCAGGUUCGAAAGUUGAGAUCAAAGGAAAUAGCUUCGGUAAAGGUGCAGUAGAGAGGAGAUGCGGAGCAGAUAUCCUCGUUUGUUUCAGGCUCCAUUUAUGUUUCUUGAUCCGCUCGAGGAUGAGUGUUUGUUUUAGUUUGGGAUGAUGUGACGACCCAGCCCAUCAUCACAUGAGUUACCACUCAGGUUUCCCUGUUUUAUGCUUCUAUAUGUUUUACUCUAUGUAUUGGGAGAAUUUGAAGUAACUCGGAUAGAGUUUGGUUGGAAAUGAGACAAUUAGUCUCUUUAUGAGAAGGUUGGUUUGGAAAAGUCAACCGAAUGUCGAAUUGUGAGUUAUAGGGAUCGGAAUGGAUUUUCGAUAAUUCGAUUAGCUUCGGGGGAUGAUUUGUGGCUUAUCGGUGAAAUCGGGAUUCAAUUUGGAGGCCUGGAGUAGAAUUUGGCUUGAAUUGGCUAAGUUUGAAUUUUAGCGGAUUCCGGUUGAUAGGUGAGAUUUUGAUCCGAGGGUCGAAAUGGGAUCCCGAGAGUUUCAGCAGCUCCGUUAGGUCAUUUUUGAUAUGCAUGCAAAGUUUCAGGUUAUUCGGAGGUGUUUAGGUUGGGUUUUUCCAUUUAGUAUGCAAUUCGGGAGAUUUUUAGAAAUUUUUGCUUUAAUUUGAUCAUUAUUGAGGAUUUUGAUAUUAACAUUAGCUUUUUGACGAUUCGAGCAAGUUUGGAUGGAGUAUUGGAUUUGGUCUGCGCCAUUGGUUGGGGUCCAGGGGGCCUCAGGGUGAUUUCGGGUGGUUGAACGGAGGUUUUCGGUGUUGUUGCAUGAAAAUAAGGGACCACUGAAUUUCCGCAAAAACGGACUGGGGUAUCGCUCCUACGGGUCCGCAGAAGCGGGACGGAAGCCGCAGAAGUGAAAAGGGAGAAUCCGCAGAAGCGGGUUUGUGGUCGCAAAGACGGAGGCUCGAACCUUUAAUGGGAAAACACAAAAGCUGUAGAAUGGGCGUAGAUGCGGUUCUUGGAACGCAGAAGUGGAAACCACUGUUGGCAGAAGGGUUUAAAGAUUUAAUCAUUACGUGAGUUCAUUCAUAACUUCCUCCAUUUUUGACCAUCUUGGAGGUUUUUUGCAGAGAUUGAAGAGGGUUUCGACGGGGUAUGUCUUGUGACUUAGAAACGUCUUUUUCGUGAAGAAUCAACCUUAAAUUCAUGGAAAAAUUUGGGAAAAACUUGAAGAACUAGGGCUUGAGUUUUGAAAUUCUAAAUGGGGAUUUGAUGGCCCAUUUGAGCUCGGAUUUGGGUAAAUUUUAUAUGUACGGACUCGUGGCGAUAUGAGGAUCCGGUGAUGUGACUUUUGUAAUUUUUCUAGAAGUGGGUCCGGGGCUCGGGUUUUGCCGACUUCAUAUUUUUGGUGUGUUUUUCGAGUUAUUUCAAUUGGGUUAAAUUCAAUUAGACUAAUAUAACCUACUCCUUGUGGUUUUGGUCAGAUUUUGCAAUCGAAGAGGUCGGUUUGCGAGGAAAGCACAAGGCGAGCUAGGAUUUUGGCCCCGAUUUUUGUAAAUUUUAUAAGUGUGGAUCAUGGCAAAAUGAGGAAUCCAGUGAUGUGACUUUUGUAAUGUUUCGAGAAGUCGGCCCGGGGCUCGGAUUUUGUCAACGUCGUGUUUUUGGGUGCUUUCGAGUUCUUUCUAUUUGGUAUGUCCCAUUAGCCUAUUAUAUCCUAUUCCUUGUGGGUUUGGUCAGAUUCAGCACUCUAGGAGGUUAAUUUGCGAGGAGACCGCUAGCCGAGCUAGGAUUUUGGCCGAUUUGAGGUGAGUAAUGGUUAUGAAUGAUAUACUAAGGGUUUGAAAUACCGUAUUUGCACUAUGCAAUGCUAUGUUGAGAUGAAACACGCGUCGUAUGAUGAGCGUGGUGAUGUUUCUGCUAGGGACUCGGAAUUGGUCCAUCCCUACUGAUGACUUAUUGCACUUUUCGACUAAGACUGAGCUGAUAUCUGUAUAUUUUUGGCUAGUAUCCAUGUUUGGAGCCUUGGGCCGAUCCGCAGAACUCUUAUGGAGCAUGUGAGAUGAUUGACCCCACUUUACCUAUUGAACACACUAUAUUUGUCCUGUCAAUAACUGUGAAUCAUGAAAUAAAUCGGCCUUAGUAACUUGCACCCUAAAUGAGCAAUCCCUAGGGUUGAAUACCUUGUCUUAGCUGAGUGGGCCCGAGACGCGAAGUCUAUAUUGACUGAGAGGGGUCAAGAACCCCGUAAUGAUGGUAUUUGAUAUAUACUAGAUCAGGCUGCACGCCGCAACAAUUUAUAUACAUACAUGCGACGGAUCGGACUGCACGCCACAGUAAUAUACUAUAUAUAUAGAUCGGGCUACACGCCAAAGUGAUAUAUUAUAUGGAUCGGACUGCAUGCCACAAUAUUAUAGUGCUUGGGCUGAGGGUAUAUUUAUUAGAUCGGGUUGCGCACCGCAGUAUUAUACAUAUAUUAUAUUGGAUCGUAAUGCGCGCUAUAGUACUAUGCAUUAUAUUGGAUCGGGCUGCGCGCCGUAGCAGUGUUAGUAAAUGGUCGGACGGAAUAGAGGACUUCUUAUCAGUUUUUUUUUCUAUUUAGCAUAUUUUUAUUGCCUUCACUGUUGAUUUUAGAACAAUAUAGUGUUCUUACCGGAUUUCUUACAUUUAGUUGUUAUUUAUUGCUAUUACUCAUUGAGUUGGAGUGCUCACUCUACUCCAUGCACCCUGUGUGCAGAUACAGGGAUCCAGGAGGCUUAGCUGCAAUUAUCUGUUGUAGCCCGGUUUAGUACUGGAGUUAUCGAGGUAGUUGAUGGCGUCCACACGACCCGAUUCCUCCUCUAAUCUAUCUUUUACUUCCGCAUUUAGAUUUCCAUUGUAUAAGAUAUUGAGCAGUUGUAUUUAGAGGAUCUGACUUUUGACGCCAGAUCUUUUGGGUUGUUAUUACUUGUUAUUGUUACUGCACUGUCCCUCUAAAUAUUAAACUGAGAAUUUUAUGUUAAACUUGGCAUUUUAAGUUAAUGAUUUGGUUAGAAAUAUUCAAAUGGUCGGGCUUGCCUAACAAGGUGUUGGGCGCAAUCACGACCGGGGUUUGGGUUGUGAUAAUAUAUGGCAAAGUUGGAGAUGGGCGAGGAGGUACGUCCAUGGUUAGCUCAAUACCAUUUUGUUGUUUGUAGUUAAGGGUACCUCAAGCCUCGGUCAAAAUACUAUGGAGGACCCUAAAUUUUGAGGUGAGGGGUAGGCAGACAUUUGUGUGCAGCCGGUUAGAUCCCACUUCCCAUGACCACAAACUUCCUCUCUACUAGGCGAUUUUAGUUGCUUCCAUCAUGGCAGGGUACCCCAUCAACGUGACGAAUGUGAUAUCCCACAUCAUCUCUAUAGUUGGUGUCGGGCACGACCUGAAAUAUCCUUUCCCCAACACUCUCAUUAUGUAUUUCCGUGACUUGGAGAUGGACAAGAUGACUGAUGACAUCAAGAACAAAGAAAUGCCCCGUUCUCUUGGUGCAUCUUGAAGAGGAAUGACAACCCCAAACAUAAGAACUACAAAGAGCUGAUUCUACCCCAACUGGCUAAUUUGAAGAGACAGUUGUGGUAUAGGUCCCCUCAGAGACUGCCUCCACUUUUGCUAAGAUGCCUCCCGGACCCUCUACAUCUUCAGCCAUUCCUCCUGGCCCUUCGACAUCAGCAGGUUUGGAGAUCCCAUCUUCCCAGACCCAUCCUAUCACUGCCCACCGACCGAGUCAGAUACUUCAGAGUAUCAAUAACUUGAUGUAUAUUGCUUCAUACAAGUUGUCCACCUUGACCACCACUAUUGCAGCUCAGUCGGCACCUGAGCCAGCACAGGUCCCACAAUCCAUUGAGGAUGCUUUGAAAGAGAUUCUUGAGAACCAGAAGAAAAACCUUACUACCCAAGAUGCAUUGGGAAAGGCCGUUGAUUCGCAUAGCAAGGCACUCAAAGAGUUUUCUAAGGAGCAUAAGAAGAUGCAAAAGACACGAGCCUCCAAGUAGUCUAUUGAUGAGCUGCGGGUAGAUGUUGACACGUUGAAGGCAGACCAGCUCCCUUUAGACCUAUUGUCCGAGGACCUAGUUUCAGCAGCUGAAUUAUAGCCGUAGCAGUCAUAGCUGCCUCCGAAGAGGAAGAGGAUGAUUCCUAUAGCCGAUGAUGCUAUCAUCUAGUUGGGAGACCCAGCAGAGACUUACUCUAGUCAGCCACAAGGUGUACCAGAUCCAGAGCAUGUCCAGGUCCCAGGAACUGCUUAGCUGGACACUAGAACCAGUCUGAGGUUCCCAAACACAUUGAGGACCUAGGGACCACCCAUGAUCCUAUGCUGACCGACAGGUCCGGGGGAGUCUUUGAUAUCCUUUUUCUUUAUCUUUUUGGGGCUUAUUUGGACUAGUUAGCAUUGGGGACAAUACCAGUAUUUAUUUGAGGAAGUGUGGCCUAUAUUUUUGGAUGACUGUAUGUAUAUUAAUACAUUUUAUGCUUUCUUAUUUUUCAUUUGGUCUGUAUAAAAUUUGAUAUUAGUAGCUUUUACCGCAUUUUCUUUAUCUUUCUAUGGUUCUGUACAUAAAGUUACAUCAUUCUAUAUAUUUAUCCCCCAUUCUAUAAUCAAAUCCCUGAUUGUGUAUAUUCAUUCUAUUUUCGCAAAAUAAUUUUGUUUUUAGCUUUUUAUUUGUGUUCGUAGUUUUUUAUUUCGUUUUGGACAUUUUCCAUAAGCCUUUGGUUUUCUUAAUACCACGGUUCUUUUCAAAUGUGGAGUGCGUGUGAAGCGGGUGGCUUUUCAAAAUGAUGGAUGGCGUGAAAACCUUCUUAAGGGUUUGAGUCCAUUUUUUUUUGUAAUUUGUAGUUAAGGGUACCUCAAGAAAAGUUUCACUUAGGCCUAGCAUAUUUUCCUUUAUUCCCAUGGUCAAAGAAAAAAUAUUGUGUUUAUAAUGGUGAAAGUCGUGACCUUGAGACUCUUGUGUUGACCAAAAAUCAUCAAGUGGUUUUUCGGGAUCAUUUUGUGCUCAAAUCGUAUCUAAGGUUGUUGUGGGCCACCGACUCUAUGGCUUUAGCAAUCCUUUAGCUUGUGCGGUGAGAAAUCGAAUUGCGAGUCCAAGUCCCGAGCCAUUGGUCUAGAACUUGCCCCGAAUGUUUAUUGAGGAGAAAUCUUAAAUGAAAUUUGACUUGAGAAUUGAUUAUAGGGUCUCCUUGAUCCAAAUGAUAGUUUGAACAAUUCCAUAGCCUAUCAAUGAUAUGAUCCCUAGUUAACCCUAAAAUAAAAAAUCAUGAUUUAAGAGACCAAAUUGUAUCGGAAUUUGAUAAAUUUUGUAUGGUUGAACUCCAAUAAGAAUGAGUAUUUAUUUUUGUAAAAUUUAUCGGGUCUCUAGGUGCAGUCCUGGAGGAUCGACUUUUGGACAAAAAAUUGUGAGUUUUGUAAAAGAUUGAGACUUAAUGAUCCAGAAUAGUUUCUUAUGUGUUUUAUUGUGCUUUGAAGUUAAUUUGGUUGGAUUUGAUCCGUCCGGAGGUCUUUUCACUCGAGAAGUGCAUUUUAUAGUAUCGGUUUAUCGUCUUCGAGGUAAGUAUCUUGCCUAACCUUGUGUGGGGACUUUCCCUUAGUAUUUGAUUCUGCUAUGUCGAUUGUAGUUCGUUUAUGCGAGAUGACAAGUGUGUGCUCAGACUUAUUUGAGAAAAAAUUGGCCUUUUAGGGUUCUUAGGUACUUAUAUUCACUUUGUAUGAAUGUGUACUUGAUAUGCUUGAGUUUUCCACUUACUAGUUUCACCUCAACAUGCUCUAAUUGAAAUUAUUUGCUUUUAGUUCGUUCUUAUAGCCUAUUCGACUCUUAUUUUGCUUAACUGAAGAUUUUUACCUCUUCUACAGUUCAUUCUAUCUUUCAUAACUGAUCGUCUUUGUUGGAAAUCGUUAUUAUCUCCCCUGUAAUUAUUUAGUCUUAAUUGAGGUUAUAAUUAUCUUUCUGCUGCUCAUCCAUAAUUGAAAUUUUUGUAUACUCUUCAUAAUUUUCCCAAACAUAAAAGAAGUUUAGAUAUUCUAUAUUCAGGUGACAUUUCCUUAUUUUGAAUUAUUUGAUUCGUGUUGGCUUCCUUGUUUUUGAAUUACUUACUGUGGGAUCGUUGCUUUAUAUUAUUUUCUCCCUUGUUGUUCUUAUUAAGCUUAGUAUUCUCUAUUGUGGUUAUUCCUUGUGAGCUAGUGUUACCAUCUCCAUGUGAUCUAAAGUUCUUGUGUUGAUUUACUUGUCGUGUUCUUGUAUAUAUUGUCAUUAUUGUUGUUGUUAUCGUUGUGCUUGUUGUCGUGGUGAACAAGGUUUAUGUCAAGUGGUUGUUGAUAUUGUGAUGCACGAGGUUUCUUCCGUGCGGCUGUUUUUAUGGGGUUGCACCAGGUUUUUGUCGUACUAUUGAUAUAUUACACAUGUGGCAUGACAAGGCAGAAUAUGUGUGUAUAUAUAUAUAUAUAUAUAUGCUUAUAUGUAGGUUGCGCAUGUGGAGAGACAAGGGGGGAACAUUUUGAUGCACGUGUGGCGAAACGAGGUGGGUUCUUAUUAUGUUAUUAUUUGCACACGUGGUGAGACAAUGUAUGAUAUGUUAGAGAUUGAUUGUGAUAAUUUAUGAUGGCCUGGGGCUUUUUUGUUGUCUGAUAUUGUGUUGUGGUACUCUUACCUAUAUGAUCUUUAUCUCGUGAGGUUUGAGAAAAUAUGUUACUUGUUGUCCGUUAUUUACCAUAUGCUUAUUAGCUGGUAGGAACUAUAUUAAAGCACUUAUACAUGCGUAGUUGAACACUCCUAUUGCAUGUGAAGUCCUCGUAAUUUUGCUGAGAGUAGAUGCACUCCUCGUUUACUUGUUAUAUAAGUGAUAAUGGCUCUAGUUAGCCAGUGAGUUGUGAGCAUGACCAUGAGGUGUGGUAGGGGCACAUGAUGCCAAGUGUUAGAUUUAAGGUACUGAGACUCGUGAGUUGUAAUUUGUCUGAGAUUUGGUACUUUGUAGAUAUUGUUGGAUAAGACCUGAUGUGAACACUGUUGUAGGAUGUAAAUUAUUGCUUACCUCUACUGUACAAUGAAUUUAGGUUUUAGGUUUGUGUUUUCGCUUGCUCUUCUAUGUCGUUAUUUUUGUAUUUCCACUGUUACUUGUUGUUUUCUUCCCUUAUUAUGAUUUUAGUAUUGUUAGCCAUUUCGUGUAGUCUUUAUAUAUACAUCAUGUUCCCUUUUUCCAAUACAUAUAAAGUAUAUUCGACCGGUAGUUAUCUUGAAUAUUCGUCGUUACUACUCCAUCGUGGUUAGUCCUGAUACUUACUAGGGACCGACGUGGUGUGCUCGUGAUACUCUUCUACACAUUUUUAUUAUGUAGAUCUAGGUAUUGAUCAUUAAUUGAUGUGCAGAUCAUUGUUGAGGAAACUCAAGGUAAACUUGUUGUUGCGUUCACAGUCUUUGAAGUCACCUUCUUACUUUUAUUCAACUGUUUUCACUUCUUUCUGAACAGUUAUAUUUAGAAGAGGUAGCUAACUCUGUAGAGCUUUUGACAUAUACUACCGGAUUUUGAAAAUUAUAAAUUAUGAAGAGAUUUCUGCUUCAAGACUUUAAAUUUUAUUUUUUAUUGGUAUGUGUUAGUCUUACCUAGUCCUAAGACUAGGUUCCAUCACGAUACCCAAUCGGAGGAAAAGUUGGGUCGUGAUAUCUUGACUUCUAGAUUUCUAUGAAUAUGACAUUAAAUGUUAGAAACGACGAAUUGGCUUGUUAUAAUUUUAUUAAAAAAAAGAUGACGGGCUAUUCUAAAAAUUAUUGAUAUGCUAAAUCUGGUCUUUAUCAUAAUAGACAAAUACAUCGCUACAACCAUUAUUCUUGAGGUCUUGAAAUCUAUACUUGAGUUGAAGAUCAUUUUUGAGACUUGUUGAAAUACUUGAAUAACAAAAUACUUGAGGUUUAUUCAACUGAUAUUGGCUUGAAAGCCAUGAUUGAUGUUCAAUUGGAACAUUUAUUUAAACACUCUUCUUGAUGUUAUCUAUGCUUCCAACCUUGCAGGGUAAUGAUAUACAUGUGCUUAGUAAAAAUGAGUGUAAAGUACAAAGGGUGAUGCCGUGCCAUUUCUUAUACAUUAUCAUGUGACGGAGAGUAUAAAGCACGAAGGAUGAUGUCAUGCCAUUUUGUAUCUAUUAUUAUGUGAGAAAAAAAUAUAAAGCAUGAAGAAUGAUGUCGUGCCAUUCAUAUACAUUAUCACGCAUGAAAGAUAAUGUCAUGAUAUUGCGUUUACAUUAUGAUGUGAGGAUGAGAGUAAAAGCACGAAGGGUGAUGUCGUGCUAUUAUUUUUAUAUGAUCAUAUGUUCAUGGAACGAAGGGUAUUUCGGUGCGAGCGAGAACGAGAGACAUAUAUUAUAUUGUGAUAUCUUUUUGUUGUGUAUAUAUUUAUGUCUUUAUAUUGGGUUGUUAUUGUACAACUAUGUUUCCUAUGUGACUUGUUGUCAUUGUUCUAUUUGUGUCCUCUACCCCAAUUGUUGUUGCGUUAUCCAUACCUUCUACAAAUUUAACUUGCAAAUAUAAUGAUUUUAUUCUUUUUUUGUUAUAUUGGAAUUUCUUCUACCUAGUUGAUAUUGUUAUGUGUAUGCUCAGCAAGAAAAAGAUAAAUGCACGAAAGUUGUUUCCGGGCUAGUUGAUUUGAUAUAUAAACAUAUACUAAGUGAGAAUGAGAUAAAUGCAUGAAGGUAUUACUGUUCCAUUCAAUUGAUAUCUUGAACAUAUUUCUCACACUAGAAAUAUUAUGAAUUGAAUGAGAUAAAUGCACGAAGGUGUUACCAUGCCAGUCGAUGUGAUAUCUUGAAUUCAUUUCUCACACCAGAAAAAUUAUGAAUUUACUACUGUGAUUUCUCCUAGUAAUCAUUCAUUUCCUUGCAUAGAAGUUUAAUCUUACCUUUAUUUGUUAUGCUCUAUAACGUUUUCUACUGCUAGUCUAUUGCACAUGUUAUAGAGGUGAUUAUCUCUUUAACUAAAAAUCUGUGUCACUAAUUCGACGAGGUUAGACAUCACACUUACCAGGUACAUGGGUGUCACGACCCAAACCCCCGCUCCGGUCGCGAUGGCGCCUCUCGUAUAGACAAGGCCAACCAGACCAUUUCAGAACACCACAAUAAAGCAGCUAAUCAGUUAUACAACAGUUCGAGUAUGAAUUAAUGAUAUUAAUUAGCGUAAUUACAACCCAAUACAGCUCGACCGGGGUGUCACAAGUCAUGAGCAUCUAGAGAAGUCUAAAUACAACAAUAGGGCCAACAAUAUACAGAAUAAAAUCUAGAAUCAAAGGAGAAAAUCCGGUGCCGAGAACGCUGGCGGUCACUCUGCUCAGCUACAAUAGUAAUAUCUUCAAUCAGCUACCGGGUGAACAAUACCUGCAUCUGCAUGCGAGGUGCAUGGAGUAAAGUUAGUACUCCAACUCAGUGAGUAAUAAAAGCAAAUAAUAAUUGAGCAUCAAGACAUCACGUAAAGCAAGCCAUCAUGCUAUGUGAGACAAUGUAACCCUUUGAGAAAACAAUGAAACCGUGAAAUCUUUAGAAAUAUUUGGGCUUAGUUUAAAACCUCUUUAGAAAAUAUCUUUUUCCAUUAGUUAAACAAAUGAAUGCGAAACAAGUAAUGCAAAUCAGCACAAAAGUCAGCCCCUCGGGAACAACACACCGUUAAUAGAUAACAGGAUAUAAGAUACUUAGUGCAAGAAGUAGCAUGGAAGACGAUGAAAUGAGAGUGCGGAAAUGUCAUGACAAUUAAUUUAAAUAGGACAAAUGCAUGAGUGCAAUGCCAUGCAUAUGACAGUACACUCUAGUACCUGCCGCAGCGUACAACCUGAGCCAUCCAUAUAAUAGACGCCGCACGAUGCUCACUGGGGUGUGUAAAAACUCCGGAGGGGCUCCUACAGCCCAAGCGUAAUACUGAGCCAUCUCGUGGCAUCAAUUAAUUCCUAGUCAGUCAUUGCUAUCUGACCAAUUUACAUCAUACACUGUCAUUGUUACCACUGUUUUAAUUUAGAUCAUACAGUGUCAUUGUUACCACUGCUUCAAGUCACAUCAUACACUCUCAUUGUUACCACUGUUUCAAUUUACAUCAUAGAGUGUCAUUGUUACCACUGUCCCAAAAUUACUACUGCGGCGCGCAACCCGAUUCAUGCUAAGUCCAGAAAUCAUCGUAAGCCCCUUGGGCAUUUGUAAAACAGUAGUUCUCAGCCCGAAAUUUCAAUUAGAAAUAUCAUUUAAGUUUUUAAAUCUUAGAAAGAUGGCUAAGUUGGCGAAACAGUAUAUAAAAUCUGGACUGAGAUCAAAUGAUAUUCAAAAUAUGCAAAAACAGUGAUAUCAAUCCCUGAAGGAUUCAAAGAAUUGGCAAGAAGCCCCUAGCGUAGCAAUAAAAUCAAAAUAAGGAUGACUCUCAACUUAGUUCAAGUAGAAAACACAGUAAAAACAUCUCUCGGGAUGGAUCAAGUAACAAUUCCAAAUGGUGAUCUACCCCACACCCGUUAUCUGGCGUGCAAGUCACCUCAAUACAGCACUAUAGUAUGCAAAUCCGGGGUUUCAAACACCGAGGAUAUCAUUUACAAGCAUUACUCACCUCGAACAGGUAAAAUCUCUAGUUCGUGACGCCAUUGCCCCUCAAGUCGGCCUCCACGUGCGUCAAAUCUAACCAAAAUAAGAGUGAAUACAUCACAAUAAUCUAAGGGAAUAAUAUCCAAUCGAAAACAAUCGAAAAAUAGCAAAAAUCUCGAAACUCUAAAAAUCCGAUUCCCGGGCUCACUUCUAAAAAAAUUACGAAAUUCACAUCACCGGAUUUCUCAUCUCGGCACAAGUCCAUACAUAUCAAAUUUACCAAAAUAUGAGUCCAUUGGCACUUCAAAUUCUAUUUUUAAAUUAAUAAUUUUUCAAGCCCCGAAUUUACCCCCUUAUGAUGAAUUUCAACUGAUUUCAAUGUUAGAUUUAUCAUAAUCUUAUGUAUUUAUGCCAAAGGUCUUGCCUCCAAUCGAUUCCCAGUCAAAACUCUCUUUUAUUCUCGCCAAAAGCUUUCUAGGUCGCCCAACAAUGGUGGAAAUAUCCCAAGCUCACGGAUGAAAUAUUCAGUAAAAAUCCUUAUGCCUAGGCCGAUUUUUGCUUUUGCGGUCCCGCUUCCGCUAUACGAGACUACUAAAGCAUCCAUAUCCACGCUUCAACGAAUAUUCUUAGAAGUCCUAAGCCGCUUCUGCGGCUAAAUUUCCACUUCUGCGGAAUUCCCUCUCAAGAUAAAAAUCGCUUCUGCGAUUACCCUUCCGCUUCUGCAGACCCGCUGAUGCGAAGAAUAUUCCACUUCUGCGGAACUACCUUACCAAACCAUGGACCGCUUCUGCGGUAAAAUAUUCCGCUUAAGCACCUCCACUUCUGCGGUCCAUGACCCGCAUGAGCGAAAAUACCAGUUGCAGCAACUCUUCACCAUAUGAAAUCUCCAAAACUCCCUAUUUAACCAUCUGAACUCAUCCGUGGCCCGCAGGACCUUAACAAAAAAUAUCAAUGCAUCCCACCACGUUACUCAAAAUUGUUCCAAUCAUAAAAAUACAUCUAACAACAGAAAAAUCCUCAAUCCUCAUCGAAUUCUAGCCUAUGUUCUUCUAAAACUUCCGAAACACGUGUUCGAUUAGAAACUCAACCAAAUCACCUCCGAAUAAUCUGAAAUUUUGCACACACAUCCCAAACCACAUAAAGAAGCUACUACAACUCUCGUAAUUCCAUUCCGACCCUCGGUUCAAAGUCUCACCUAUCAAUCGGAUAUCGCCAAAAUACUAACUUCGCCAAUUCAAGCCUAAUUCUACAUCGUACCUCCAAUUUCACUUCUGAUCAUACUCUUAAGUCAAAAAUCACACCCCGAAGCUAACCUAGUUACCGGAAAUCAUAUCCGACCCCUCUAACUCAUAAGUCAAUAUUCGGUUGACUUUUCCAAACAAAACCUUCCUUAAAGAGAUUAAGUGCCUCAUUUCCUUUCAAACCCAAUCCAACUCAACUCUAACACAUCAAAUGUCGAUAAUGAAACAUGAAGAAGCAUAACAUGGGGGAAACGGGGCGGUAACACAUGAGAUGACGGGUCGGGUCGUCACAUCCGCCCCAACUUAAACAAAUGUUCUUCCUCGAGCAUACCCAGAGUUGUCCUACAAGCCAAUCAAUAGCUGAAUGAACUUACCACGCAUAUACCAAGGGUGCUCCACGUCACCCUAUUUACCUAGGUUCGAUAACACAAUAUAAUUGAAAUUCGUAAUCCAUCCUAUUCCAUUAAUCGUAGAACCAUAUUUCCACUGCCAAAAUCAUCCACAAGGUCCAAAUCUCACAACUAUACUCUGAAUAAGCCCGAACCAGCUGUCAUUACCCAUACCUGAAACCUUGGUACCAUUACAUGAUAAACACAUAACUUAUGGUCGUAGCAAUAACUUCUGUUCACCGCAUUUGCACACAAUACACAAAUACCGCCAGAAGACUCUUAUCAAAAAAUUCUCAUUCCAACGGCUUUCAUAUAAUGCAAUCGAUCAAUGACACACGCAAUAAACAAUAACCAUUUCUUAGAUCAACCAUUCACGAUGCCACUUCUCCACUAACAUUUACCAUAUCAAUUUUCCGAGCCGAACCACACUAUUUACCUUCCAACAUGUUGAAAUCAAAUCCUUUCAUAUUAACUAAUGCUCCCAAUGAUCUUGUCUAAUCAAACAUAACCACUCGGUGACAUGAAAUAUCAACAGGGGCCUAAGCCAUAUCUAGCAUAGUCCGCGCUCUAAUAUGCAACGGUUUCAACAUACUCAAAUCAUGAAAAUGACUCAAAUAAAAGAGUUGUACCUCAAGCUCACCAGUACCAUCACAUCGCAAGGCUGAGAACCCGUCUAAUAUCAUUGAAUAGAACACACGAAUCUAACCCGAAAGGUCAUAUCCCCACAUAUCCAAACACUGCUCCAAAUCAAACACCUCAAGUCCCUAUGCUCGAAAUUAAUAACAACACACAAUUGUUAUUUGGAACCCUAGCAAAUCAUCACACCCACGGUUAAGCAAGUAACAUAUACCACACAACCCUAAAAGGACAAAACUGAUGCGCCAUUCACCGAGCAACACCCAAUUACUCUUCCCACUAGACUUUCCACUAUAAACCCCGAUAGAACCGCACCAUAUAUUCCCAACCACAAAAAUCAUAACAUCUCGAAACACAUAAACAACUCAUAGAUCAUUCCAUAUCAUUGAUAAACUCAAUAACAGUCGAAUCAACCUAUCCCUCAACAAUUAAAUUCGAGCCAAACAAACUGACUCAAGCUAGAACACACAUCCACAUUGGCCUGCCAUUGAGCUACAUACCAAGGAAACCGGAAACCGGAACCUGUUCCUUUCCACUACUAUAACUGCUUCUGGUGCCAUAUGAUACGGUUCCUGACACCAAAUCAAUACCAAAAUUGAUACCACUGCUCGGUGACAUGCGUGGCCACAGGAAACACAUUAGAAAAAGUCUCACAACGCCGGGUCUGGAUCCAAGAUAGUUAACCUUUGCACUACCAAUCAUCACAAAGGCCCAAUUUAGAAAGACAAUCUUUACCAGCCACCCGCUGGUCUUUGAAAUAUAAGCCACUCUGCUAGAACCUAAUCCAAUGCAUCCCACCACUCAACCUGUGGCAUUUUCGACAUAGCCCAUAGUGCAAUUGUUUAGAAUCACCUAAUACUCAGAUAACCAGUCUGGAUUUAAUCAUCACAUCAAAAAUCUAACGUACCAGCAAACAAAGAUCUACUCGAGCCUCCAAAUCUCGAUGGGCCUAAACGGUGCCAAUACCCAUGAUCCACAACCACAAUAUGGCCUGAUCAUGAGAACUUUCCUCUCCAAAGCCACAUAGCACAUAAAUCAUAGUACCAAAUCCCUAUUUCUCCGUCUGAAAAUGUACCACACCUUAAUACCUAAUAAUUUCAUGAUAGUUACUCUAUAUUCUCAAUGUGCCACCAAGCCAACCCGAAUAGCACCAGUCGAUCUAACCAAAAAGUGCCGCAAUACCACCAAAGUGCCAACUAUUUAAAUCACAUCGCCCCUUUUCUGUAACAAAAUCUCUUCUCAAAUCACUACCAUUUAGCAAUACUAUUUCCUUAAUCAUCUAAGUUUAUUCGUUGCAUAAGAGUUUCAUGAACUUCCUUUCAAAACUAAACUUUAACUUUACACUUACAAGUUUCGGUUCUUCAUAACGUACCGCAUGUAACAUGCCGUUCGAGGAUACAUGAAAAACUUACCUCCCUUCCGAGCCAUAGACAUCAAUGCACUCAACUACUCAAGAGCUUACCAUUGAUCUAGUCUAGAACAAAGGCCAUAGAAGACAUACAUUUCAAAACCACGGUAAAAUCCAACAAGAACUCUUCUCGUUCCUUUGCACUAAUUAAACUGCCAAGACUGAAUCCUUCUAACUAUACCAAGCUAAGCAAGCCGUCGAAGCCCAAGAGCAUUGCUACAAAAUACUUGCACGAACUUAUUACCUCAAAAACACACAAAGAAUUAAUCAUAUGAUUGCCAUGUCGAUCCGAUCUACUAUCAAGCUACUCCAUCAGUCUAAAUUUUCUUUUGGUUCAUCUUCAACUUGAUAUUUCUCCUUUUUUAUAGCACCACAAUUUCUCAACCUAGGCUUCAACAUGAGAACCAAGCAUAAACCACAUUGACUGAAUCUGUUAGCUGCUAAAUACUUUCACAGUUAUUCUCAAGAGCACCACGAUCAAAUACUUUACUUUGAAGGGACUUCCCGCAAUUCUAAAUCGGUUACCUUUACCUUCUUAAUACUAAUACAUAGAAUCCCAUAAUUUAUAUAGAAAAGUACCACAAGUCUUAACAUCUUCCAAUGAAACUCAGUUUCUAAUCACAUAUACAACCUUAACAUACCCAAUUAUUAUAUGUAGAAUCUUGAAUACAUUGGAACCAUUCUCGAGAGUUAUUCACUAUAUUCAAACUGCAACUAGCCUGAUCAAACAAACAGAAUAACAAGUGCCUCAUAGCAUUCCGACACUGCAGAAUGUAACCUCAUAUUAGAACAACCAAGCCACUUCCUGCUCUAUGUACCGAGCAUCUAUUGCAAACAUCAACUCAUGCCUUCUGUGAUUCUCUUACCAUAUGAAUCAUAAUAUACCUUUUGCAAACUUUUCAUAUACUCUAGUCAUAGCUAAUGCACUGACAUCAUCCAGCAAAACUCAAUUUUUAAUCACAUGCACAACCUUCAAAUACCCCAUUGUUAUAUCCAGGUAUUCACUCCAUUCAAACUGUAAGUAGCCUGACCCAACGGACAUAAUCACCUGCGCCUCAUUAACACUCCGAUAUCGCAGACUGAAAUCCUUAUCCCCUGACAACCAGGCAACUUCCUGUUCGAAGCAUCCAACAUUCCUUUCCAACAACAACUCUAGAUAUUCCGCAAUUCUCAUACCCUAUGAAGCAUAAUAUAACCCUGGUCAAAAAUGUUCCUUUACUCUAACCGUAGAUAAUUCUCUUGCAAGCCUCAAGCUGGAACCAGCAUAACACAUAAUUGUACAAUUAGCUUAUCAAUAGAAAACUCCCCAACUUACCUCGAAGUCAUAACUCAAGAUACACUCACUAACCCAUAAACAUUUACCCUAUUGAUGACCCAAUACCAUAGUGAGAUUAAACUCAAAUCAUCCAUAGGGUUGUGAAAAUGCAGAUCAUCUAGCACAGUAUAUCUUCCGCAAAUCUCACAUUCAUUUCCUCAACAGCAAAGGCCACUCUCUCAAGCAACCCGAAAUUUCAAACUCAGCACGUACUUUUCAAUUAUGCAUGAGAUCUUUAACAUACACAUAAGGAUUCACACCACUUCAGAACACUCUGCAGGAGAUAACCCACCUACUUUACCUCAAUAUAACAUUUUUGCACUUCUUCCACUGACAUAAACAUUAUACAAUUACUUGGUCUUUCUAAGCCUGAACUUAUACCGCAGCAUAAACUUUUUACUUCACUCUCAACUGGAAACAUGAAAAUAUUCUUUACGCACCCAUAACUUGGGCUAUACCUCGAAUCACAAUGGAAUUCAAACACAUAAUUGUUCGCCUAUCACCCAGCAGAUCUCCCUCGACACUUCAAGUUACAUAGAAACAUCAUGCAGUACUAACAUACUCAUCACAUUGUUACCCAGCCGUCAUUCCCACUAAUAGGGGAAAUACCGAUCAUAUAAGUUCAAAUACAUGCUUACACAAUAAGCACCUCGGUGCUCAAGCCAGAGGCAAAGAUCCGGCCUCAAGUCCUCCAGACUAGCUCGACAAACUCAUGAAGAUCACAUCUCACCCCUUGAUCGGGAAAAUACAAACCAUCGAGGCACAUAUAAUAUUGAGAGCUUGUAUGCGCGCACAUACGUGUGGAAGGAAUUUCAAAGGUUACAUCUCAAGAUGUAUCAAGUACGCACGAUAAGAAUUCCAAGAAAGUGAAGUUUUCCUAAAGGUUCUGGAGCCUCUCGAGGAUAAAUACAAACGUCUCCAUACCAAUCCACGAGACUCUACUAAACCUGCUCAUAACUCGUGAGACCUUGUAAUCUAGGCUAUGAUACCAACUUGUUACGACCCAAACCCUUGCUCCGGUCAGGAUGGCGCCUCUUGUGUAGACAAGGCCAGCUAGACCAUUCUAGAACACCACAUUAAAGCAGCGAAUCAGUUAUUCAACAGUUCGAGUAUGAAUUCAUGCUAUUAAUUAGUGUAAUUAUAAUACAAUACACCCCGACCGAGGUGUCUCAAGUCACGAGCAUCUAGAGAAGUAUAAAUACAACUACAGGGCCAACAAUAUGUAGAAUAAAAUCCAGAACCAAAGGAGGAACUCCGGUGCCGCGAACACUGAUGGUCACUCCACUCAGCUACAGUAGUAAUACAUUCAAUCAGCUCAACACCCACUAUUGUGUGAACAAUACCUGCAUAUGCACGCGAGGUGGAUGGAUUAAAGUGAGUAUUUCCAACUCAGUGAGUAAUAAAAGUAAGUAAUAACUUAGCAGCAAGAAAUCACGUAAAGCAAGUCAUCAUGAUAUGUGAGACAAUGUAACCCUUUGAGAAAAUAGUGAAACCGUGAAAUCUUUAUAAAUAUUCGGAAUCAGUUUAAAACCUUUUUCAAAAAUAUCUUUUUCCAAUGGAUAAGCAAAUGAAUGUGAAACAAGUAGUGCAAACCAGCAAAAAAGUCAGCCCCACGGGCAUAGCACUCCGUUAACAGAUAACACCAGGAUAUUAGGUACUUAGUGCAAAAAGUAGCAUGGAAGCCGAUGAAAUGAGAAUGCUGAAAUGUCAUGAUAAUUAAUUAAAAUAGGGACAAAUACAUGAGUUCAAUGCAAUGCAUAUGAUGGUACAGCCUUGUACCCGCUGCAGCGUGUAGCCCGAGCCAUCGAUAUAAUUAACGUCGACGGCACUAACUAGGGGUGUGUAAAGACUCCGGAGGGGCUCUUACAGCCCAAGAGAAUAUUCAGCCAUCUCGUGGCAUCAAUUAAUUCCUGGUCAGUCAAUGAUACCUGACUGGUCAGUCAUUGUUACAUGACCAAUUUACAUCAUAUAAUGUCAUUAUUACCACUGCUUCAAGUCACUUCAUACAGUGUCAUUGUUACAACUAUAUUAGAGUCACAUCAUACUGUGUCAUUGUUACCACUACUUCCAGUCACAUCAUAUUGUAUCAUUCUUACCAGUGUCCCAAAAUUAUUGUUGCGGUGCGCAGCUCGAUACAUGCUCAGUCCAGAAAUCAUUACAAACCCCUUGGGCUUUUGUAAAAUGGUAGUUCUCAGCCUGAUAUAUCAAUUAUAAAUAUUAUUUAAGUUUUCAAAUCUUAGAAAGAUGGCUAAGUUUGCAACAAUAUUUAAAACCUUGGACUAAGAUCAAAUGAUAUGCAAAAUAUGCAAACAUAGUGAUAUCAAUCCCUGAAUGAUUCAAAUAAUUGGCAAGAAGCCCCAAACAUAGCAAUUAAGACAAAAUAAGGAUAAUUCUCAACUAAGUUCAAGCAGAAAACAGAGUAAAAAAAUCUAUCGAGACAUAUCAAGUCAAAAUCCACAAUGGUGCUCUACCCUACGCUUGUUAUUCGGCGUGCAAGUCACCUUUAUACAGCACUAUGGUGUGCAAAUCAUGGGUUACAAACCCUCAGGAUAUCAUUUACAAGCAAUACUCACUUCGAACUGGUGAAUCUCUAGCUCGUAAUGCAUUUUCCCCUCAUGUCGACCACCACGCGCAUCGAAUCUAACCAAAAUGAGAGCGAAUACAUCACAAUAUUUUAAGGGAAUAAUACCCAAUCGAAAAUAAUCAGAAAAUAGUAGAAAUCUUGAAACUAGCAAAACCCGAGCCCUGGGCCAACUACUCGAAAAAUUACAAAAUUCAUAUCACCAGUUUCCUCAUCUCACCACGAGUCCAUACAUGUCAGAUUAACAAAAAUCUGAGUCCAUUUGACCCUUCCAAUUCCAUUUUUAAACUACAAAUUUUUCAAGCCGUAGAUUUACCCAUUUUGAUGAAUUUCAACCAACUUCCAUGUUUGAUUUAUCAUAAUCUCAUGUAUUUAGGCCAAGGGACAUACCUCCAAUCGAUUCCGAGUCAAACAUCUCUUUUAUUCUCGCUAAAAGCUCUCAAGGUCGUCCAACAAUGGUGGAAAUUUCCCAAGCCCGCAAAUAAAAUAUUUUGUAAAAACCCUUUCGCCCAGACCGAUUUUCGCUUCUCCAGUCCCGCUUCCUCUUAUGCGGGACCACUUCUGUAGCCAAAUCCCCUCUUCAGCAAAUAUUCAUUAAAACUCCUAAACCGCUUCUAGGGCUAAAUUUUCUCUUUUGCGAAACUCCCUCUCAAGAUCAAAAUCGCUUCUGCGAUUACCCGUACGCUUUUGCGAAGCCGGUGAUGCAAAGAAUGUUCUGCUUCUGCAAAACUACCUAAUCAAACCAUGGACCGCUUCUUCGGUAAAAUAUUCCACAUAAGCACCUCGGCUUCUGCGCUCCAAGAACCGCAGGAGCAAAAAUACCGGUUGUAGAAACUCUUCAGCCAUAUGAAAUCUCCGAAACUCCCCGUUUAACCAUCCGAACUCAUCUCAAGGCCCUAGGGACCUCAAACAAAAAUAAUAAUGCAUCCCAAAACGUUAUUCAAACUUGUUCCAAUCAUAAAAACACAUCAAACACAGAAACAUCUUCAAUCCUCAUCGAAUUCAAUCCUAAGUUCUUCUAAAACGUUCGAAAAACACGUUCGAUCACAAACCCAACCAAAUCAACUCCGAAUCAUAUAAUAUUUUGCACACACAUCAUAAAUCACAUAACGAAGCUACUACAACUCUCUGAAUUCCAUUCCGACCCUCGAACCAAACACCCACCUAUCAAUCGGAUGUCGCCAAAAUACUAACUUCGCCAAUUAAAACCUAAUUCUAACCGGACCUCCAAUUUCACUUUCAAUUACACUCCUAAGUCAUAUAUCACACCACGAAGCUAACCGAAUCACCGGAAAUCACAUCUGACACCUCUUACUCAUAAGUCAAUAUCCAGUUAACUUUUCAAAACCAAAUUUUUCUUAAAGAGACUAAGUGUUUCAUUUCCUUCCAAAAUAAAUCCAACUCAACUUUAAUACACCAAAUGCCGAUAAUAAAACAUGAAGAAGCAUAACUUGGAGGAAAUGGGAUAGUAACACAUGAUAUGAUGGGUCGGGUAGCCACAAUAGGGCAGUUGUACUCAUGCUACACUUCUGCACCUUACGUGCAUAUUUUUAUUGAUUACGUUGCUCUGCAUAGCGGGAGCUGGCAUUGAAGAUUUAUGUGCGAUCCGGUUACAGCUGCCUCUUGAUCUUGAUAGCUUUAGUUCGAAAUCUGUAAAAAUUUUGAAACAUACGAUGUAUUUUAUUUUAUACCAACUUUACAAAUUCUAAAUCUUAGAAUCUCAUGAUUUGUAAAAUCGGUUCUUAGGGAAUGUAUUAAAUCCGGAUAUAUUAUCAUUUAUUUAUCUCAAUAAAUAUUCUUAAAUUGGAUAGUUGUUAGUUGGUUUAACUAACGGGUUAGGAUAUGUGUUAUCAUAACUCGUCAAUGUGACGACCCAAAGGGCCAUCACCGUAAUUCUCCAUUUCUUUGUGCUUCUAAGGCCUUGAAAACCUCUUAUUUGGUUGUCUCAAUUUGGGUGCACAAUCUACGCACGAAGCAGGAAAAUUCUUAUGUGAAAUACUUGAAUUCUGUGUUAGAAACAAUGAAUUUUGAUAAUAAUAUUGCUAUUGUUGACUUUGGUCAAUAUUUUGGGUAAACAGACCCGGACCUGUGAUGUGACGAUCUCAAAGGGUGCGUAGGAAAAUAUGGGACCCGGGUGUAUUCAAGGAAUAAAAAUUUGAGGUCCUAGGACCGAGUACGGAAUUUUUCAAAGAAAUUGGUUAUCUAAAAUUAAUAUGAGAAAUUGAAAUUAAAAUGAGUUAGAAAGUGAUGGCAUCGGGCUCCUAUUCUAUUUUCGACGCCCGAUCAGGUCUUAUGUGAGCGUUGAGUGCUUUCUGUGAAUUUUGGUUGAAAACAGACGUCAUUUGACGUGUUUCGGACUAAAAAUGGUGAACUUUGAAAUGAAAAUUCAUGUGUUCUGAGGUUUGAUUCUAUGUAAGUGGUGUUAUUUUGGCUAUUUUAUUGCACGAGUAAAUCUGUAGGAUACUAUUGAGUUAGUGUACAUGUUUGGUUGGGAGCCCCGAGGGCUCGGAAGUGAUUCGGAGGUGGUCCAGGAUUGUUUCACUUAUAGGAAAGAACAGUUCAGGUGAUGUAGACACCAGCGCGGCCGCAAUCAUUUCUUUGCGGUACGCGCUGGAGCCUCGUGGCCACGAUGCAUUUUUGUGCAGUCCGCGUGGCUGUCUCUGAGGCAAGGAUUCCAGGGUGAUCAGCGCGGCCGUGCACCAAAACAAUGCGGUUUACGGUGGGUGGGUUUAGAGGAGCACCAGUUCCCAUUCCAUUCGAUGCGGCCGCAGCAAAUUUUUGUGCGGUCCGCGUCCGGCCAUCAGAGAGGAAUAAAAACUCAAAAACUUCAGCCAUUUUUCCACUUUUCAAAAAUCCAAAACCUAAGGAGCGAUUUUCCAAACAAUUUUUCUUCUCCAAAAUGAUUGGUAAGUGAUUUCUAACUUAACUUUCCUUAUCCUUAGAAUCUUUUAACAUAAUUUCAACUUCAAUAAAAUAUUUUCACAAAUGAGAAUUUGGGAAUUGGGGUAGAACCUAGGUCUUCUUAAAAUUGGGGAUUUGGACCUCAAUUUGGGGUCCGAUUUCAAAACAAAUGACAUGUAUGAACUCGUGGGGGAAUGAGUAACUGGGUUUUGGUACGCACCUUGGGUUUUGACCACGUGGGCCCUGGGGAAUUUAUAUACUUUUUGGGUAAAACUUUAGGAAAUUUAUUCUUAUGCAUUCGAAUUGAUUUAACUAGCAUUUAUUGAUACAUUUGAAUAAAUUGUGAUAAGAUUCGAUCGGUUUUGUGGCAAAUUGGAGGGGUAAAGCUAUUCUAGAGGCAUGAGUUGUGUUUGGAGCUUUUAAAGUAAGUGUUUGAUCUAACUAUGGCUUGAGGAGAUAGGAUUAGGACAAUAGUUGCUAUGUGCUCUGUGGAGUCGGUGUAUAGGUAUGGUGACGGUUACCUAUGCACCCGAGUCUAGCAUGACUGUGAGUUAUAAUUGCUCUUAAAUUCUAAAAACAAAAGGUGAAAUAAUUGAGUUAUUACUUGUUAAAUAAAGUAUGAAGUGAUAGUUGAGAAUCAAAUGAGUUAAAGAAGGAAGUGUGGUACUUUUCCCUUAGUCGGGACUUGUUGUUGAAUUGUUUUCCCUUGCCAGGACUUAUUGUUGAAUUGCUCUCCCUUACCGGGAUGAUUGAUCUUGUUGAUGUUCCUUUCCCAAUUAGUUGUGACCGUGACUGGGUGAGGAAGAAAAAUUUUGCACGAAUGGUCUUUCUGUGCCGUGUUUGAUAAUUAUGCACGAAGGGUCUUUCUGUACCAUGUUACGCUAAUUAUGCAUGAAGGGUUUUGUUGUGCCAUGUUUCUUGAUUAUUGAGCACGAAGGUCCAUUCUGUGCCUUGAUGUGAGAGUUAUACGAUGAACGCACGAAUGGUGAUGUCAUGCACUAUAUUUGAUAGUUUUGGUGAAGAAAGCACGAAGGGUGAUGGCGUGCACUAUAUUUGAGAGUAAAAGCACGAAGGUUAGUGCCGUGUGGUUGUUGACUCUCUUGCUUUCUUUUAUUGAUGUUAAAUAUUUAGUUUCCAUUUCUUUUUCGAUGGUCUUAUAAUUGAAUCGUUACACCCCACAGCAUGUCCCCUUCACAUUAUCUGUUUAAAUUAUGUUACCUUUAUGUUAUUGCACAUUUAUCUAUACAUGUUGAUUGUGGUAUGUCCAUUCUUGCCUCGUCACUACCUCGUCGGGGUUAGGCCAUACAAUUACCAGCACACGGGGUUGGUUUGGCUGAUGCUACGCUUAUGUGCCCCUUUUGUGCACAGGUGAGGAGACAGCAUACGGACCAGAGCAGUAGCUUGGGAGCCCGCCUUCAGUCCAAAGACUCCUAGGUAGUUCGCUCGUGUUCGUGGGCCCUGGGUCUCAUCUAUUUCAUUCCGUUUAUUUUCAUUGUAACGAAACAGAUUUAGUGUGCAAUUUAUUUCAGAGUGACGUUUUAGAACUCUCUUUUAGUAGUCUGUGAGUAGUGACACUAGAUACUAGGUAGAGGCAUGUUACAAACUUCCGCACAUUACUAUUGUUAUUUUUGUUAAAAGUAUUCCGCGUGGAUUUUAAUUAAUUAUUUCAGUUAUUAUACUGUUUUAGAUUAAUGUUUUGUGAAAUGUUUAAAAUGGGAUGGCUUGCCUAGCUCCGACAGUAAGAUCCAUCACGACUCCCGAUGGUGGGAAAAUUCGGGUUGUGACAAGUUGGUAUCACAGCACUUGGUUACUUGGGUCUCAUAAUCCACAGACAAGCCCGGUAGAGUAUGAGGGAUCGGUACAGAGAUGUCUGUAUUUACCCCACAGAGGCUACAGGGUUAGGAUAAAUUUUCACUUUGUUCAUUCUUGUUGUGCGAUUCUGUUUCUCAAAUAUUGAUUGUCGUUCUACUCUGUUCUUCCGCAGAUGGCGAGAACACGUGCGUCUUCUUCUUCUUCACAGCAGCCUGAGUUCCCAGCAGCAGCUCCCGUGAUGGGUAGGGGCCGAGGCCGUGGUAGGGGCAGAGCUACGCCCCAGCCAGCAGUUCCAUAGGUGGAGCCUCAUAUUGACUUUGAUGAGGAGGUUCCAUCCCCAGCAGCUCCAGUAUGCGCAACUCAAGUCCUAGGAGGGUUUAUGUUUUCCCCGGAUCUCCAGGAUGCUCUCGUCCUUAUAGCAGGUUUUAUGGAUAGUGUAACUAGAGCAGGUCUGCUUCUAGUAGCACCAGCCACUUCUCAGGCUGGAGGAGGGUCUUAGACUCCUGCUACGCAUACUCUGGAGUAGGUAGCUCCCCGUGCUCAGGUCCUGGUGGUUCAGCGCGCAGUGGCAGCUCAGACAGGUGUUACAAUGCAGGCCGGUGAUGGGACAGCCAUGUCUUUGGAUGCUUUGUUAAAACUUCAUCGGUUCUCCAAGAUUUUCACCACCACUGUUAGUGGUACUUCGUUGGAGGAUCCCCAGGAUUUUCUGUUCAGUUGUCAUGAGAUCCUCAGGACUAUGGGUAUAGUGGAGACCAAUGGGGUUGAUUUUUUCAGCUUCAGGCUUGCAGGAUCCGCCAAGACUUGGUGGAAAGAUUGUUGCCUAUCUAGACCAGCAGGGACUCCAGCUUUGACAUGUGAUCAGUUUGUGGUGUUGUUUUUGGAGAAGCUUCUCCCCAUCACUCAGCGGGAGGCAAUUCGUAGACAGUUUGAGCGCCUCCAUCAAGGCUCCAUGACAGUUAGACAGUAUGAGACCAGAUUUAUUGACUUGGCACACCGUGCAGUUGUGAUACUCCCUACAGAGCGAGAGAGGGUCCGGAGGUUCAUUGAUGGAUUGAUUCAUCCGAUUCACCUUCAGAUGGCUAUGGGAGUUGGCAGUGAUAUUUCCUUUCAUGAGGCGGCCAAUGUAGCCCGCCAGGUAGAGAUGGCACUGGUUUGAGCAGGUAGUCAGGUGUUAGACAAGAGGUCCUGCCAUACUGCUAGGUUCAGUGGUACCUCAUCUAGAGGUAGGGAUGCAUAUGACAAAGGCCACUCUCAGAGGCUCUUCCAGUCGGCACUUCAGGUUUCACAUGUCACUCCAGGCGAUGGUGGUCAUUAGUAGUAUUAUUCGGAUCAGUAUAAUUUUUAUGCACCACCAGCCCCCAUCAGUACACCACCACUUCAGAGCUUCAGGGGAGGACAUAUCGGUCGACAGGGCCAGUAGUCUUAGCAGCCGAGGUCCUGUUAUUGUUGUGGUGACCCGAGUCAUAUUGUCAGGUUCUUCCCUCAAGCCUUGAGUAGUUCUCAGCAGCAGGGUCCUCACCCUACGAUUCAGGAAGCAGGUGAUCCACAGGAUGCCAAACUAGUUAGAGGUGUGGGUAGGGAUCAUAGAGGUGGAGGGAGAGACCAUAGAGGUGGAUCUAGCACCAACAGAGGUAGGGGUCAGCCUGUAGCAGAUUGUCCCAGAGAUACAAUUCGGGGAGGUGGGCCCAGACCCGUUGUUAUGCAUUACCAGCCGAUCGGAGGUCGAGUCCUCAGAUAUUGUGAUUACAUGUACUAUUCAGGUUUGUGAUAGGGGUGCUUCAGUAUUAUUCGAUUUGGGAUCUACGUAUUCUUAUGUGUCAUCCUAUUUUGCACCUAUUUGACCAUGCCUAGUGAGGAUUUGGGUACUCAUAUGUAUGUGUUAACACCGGCUAGUGACUCUAUAGUGGUCGAUCAGGUGCAUCGUUCAUGCGUAGCGGUAUUUGAGGGUUUGGAGACCCAUGUCGACUUAUUGCUUUUAGAUAUGGUAGACUUCAAUGUUAUUUUUGGAUGGACUGGUUGUCCCCUUAUCAUGCCAUUCUGGAUUGUCACGCGAAUAACGUGACCUUAGCCUUGCCAGAUUUGCCUCGACUUGAGUGGAGAGGGACCCCAUGUCAUACUACCCACAGUGUUAUUACGUAUGUCAAGGCUCGGCGUAUGGUCGAGAAGGAGUGUCUAGCAUAUUUGGCGUAUGUUCGCGACUCCAACGCAGAGGUUCCAUCUAUCGACUUUAUUCCAAUUGUUCAGGAAUUCCCCGAGGUUUUCCCUUCAGACCUGCUGGGUAUGUCGCCCGACAGGGAUAUUUAUUUCUGUAUUGACUGGCUCCUGGCACUCAGCCUAUUUCAGUUCUGCCAUAUCGCAUGCCCCCCCCCCUAAACAGUUGAAAGAGUUGAAGGAGCACCUUCAAGACUUGCUUGAUAAGGGUUUCACUAGACCCAAUGUAUCACCUUGGGGUGCACCAGUGCUAUUCAUGAAGAAAAUGACGGGUUGAUGAGGAUGUGUAUUGAUUACCGGCAGUUGAAUAAGGUGACGAUUAAAGAACAAGUAUCCACUACCAAGGAUUGAUGAUUUGUUCGACCAUCUUCAGGGUGCUAGGGUGUUCUCGAAGAUAGAUUUGAGGUCUAGUUAUCAUCACCUGAGGAUUAGGGCGUCUGAUAUCCCAAAGAAAACAUGUCGUACUCGAUAUGGGCAUUAUGAGUUUUUGGUCAUGUCGUUCGGGUUAACCAAUGCUCAUGGAGUUGAUGAACUGAGUGUUCAGGCUCUAUUUGGAUUUGUUUAUGAUUUUAUUAAUUGACGACAUCUUGAUAUACUCCCGCAGUCAGGAGGAGCAUGAGCAGCACCUCAGGGUGGUUUUUCAGACUCUGAAGGAUAGCCAGUUGUACGCCAAAUUCUCGAAGUGCGAGUUUGGUUGAGUUGCAUCGCAUUCCUGGGCCAUGUUGUAUCAGCAGAGGGUAUUCAGGUGGACUCGAAGAAGAUAGAGGCAGUCAAGAACUGGCCUCGGCCAGCUUCAUCUACAGAGAUCCGGAGCUUCUUGGGGUUAGCUGGUUACCAUAGACGUUUAUGGAGGGGUUUUCAUCCAUCGUAGCCCCGAUUACUAGAUUGACCCAGAAGGGUGCCCAGUGCAAAUGGUAAGAUGAGUGCUACGCGAUCUUCCAGAAGCUCAAGACAGCUCUGACUACGACACCGGUAUUGGUUUGCCUACGGGAUCUAGGCCUUAUGCUAUGUAUUGUGAUGUUUCUCGUAUCGGGAAUGGCAUAAUGUUGAUGCAGAAUAGAAAGGUCAUAACAUAUGCUUCGAGGCAGUUGAAGAUCUACAAUAAGAAUUAUCAGGAUCAAGACUUAGAGUUGGUAGCCAUUGUUCAUGCCUUGAAGAUAUGGAGGCACUAUUUGUAUGGUGUGAUGUGCGAGGUGUACACGGAUCACAAGAGCCUUGAGUACUUGUUCAAGCAGAAAGAGUUGAAUUUGAUACAGUGCAGGUGGUUUGAGUUGUUGAAGGACUAUGAUGUCUCUAUCUUAUACUACCCGGGGAAGGCCAAUGUGGUGCCCGAUGCAUUGAGUAGAAAGUUCUCUAGCAAGGUAGUCUUGCCUAUAUUCCGGUCAGCCAGAGACCGCUUGCCUUGGAUGUUCAGGCCUUGGCCCUUGAAGAUAUGGAGGCACUAUUUGUAUGGUGUACACAGAUCACAAGAGCCUUGAGUACUUGUUCAAGCAGAAAGAGUUGAAUUUGAUACAGUGCAGGUGGUUUGAGUUGUUGAAGGACUAUGAUGUUUCUAUCUUAUACUACCCGGGGAAGGCCAAUGUGGUGGCCGAUGCAUUGAGUAGAAAGUUCGCUAGCAAGGGUAGUCUUGCCUAUAUUCCGGUCAGCCAGAGACCGCUUGCCUUGGAUGUUCAUGUCUUGGCCAAUAGAUUUGUGAGAUUGGGUAUUUCUGAGCCUAGCAGGGUGUUAACUUUCACGGUUUCUCACUCUUCAUCGAUGGAGCGUCUCCGGGAACGACAGUUUGAUGAUCCCCAUUUUUAUGUCCGGAGAGACACGGUGCAGCGGGGAGGUGCCAGGGAGAUGACUUUAGAAGAUGAUGGUAUAUUGAGAUUGCAGGGGCAAGUUUGCGUGCCCAAUGUUGAUGGUAUUCGGGAUUCGAUCUUAGCGGAGGCCCAUAAUUCUCAGUAUUCCAUUCACCCGGGCGCCGCGAAGAUGUAUCAGGACUUGAGGCAGUGUUUCUGGUGGCGUAGAAUGAAGAAAGUCAUUGUUGCAUAUGAGGGUCGUUGCUUGAAUUGUCAGCAGGUGUAGUACGAGCAUUAGAGGCCCAAUGGGUUAUUUUAGAGGAUUGAGCCUCCCGAGUGGAAGUGGGAGAGAAUCACCAUGGAUUUUGUUAUUGGCCUUCCGAUGACUCGGAUGAAGUUUGAUGCUAUAUGAGUUAUUGUUGAUAGGCUGACCAAGUCAGCACAUUUUAUUCCAGUUGCCACCACCUAUUCAUCGGAGAGAUAUGCUGAGAUUUAUAUCAGAGAUGUCGUUUGCCUUCAUAGGGAGCCCAUAUCUAUUAUUUCAGACCAGGGUCCGCAGUUUACCUCACAUUUCUGGAGAGCGGUACAGCAUGAGUUGGGCACCCAGGUCUAGUUGAGUACAACAUUUCACCCCCAGACGGACCGUCAGUACGAGAGGACUAUUCAGAUUCUUGAGGAUAUAUUCCGAGCCUGCGUUAUUGAUUUUGGAGGCUCCAUGGACUAGUUCUUGCCUUUAGCAGAGUUUGCCUACAAAAACAGCUACCAGUCCAGCAUUCAGAUGGCUCCGUAUGAGGCGUUGAAUGGUAGGCGGUAUCGGUCCCCAGUCGGUCCCCAGUCUGACGAUCCAAAGGGUCAUCACCGUAAUUCUCCCUCUCUUUGUGCUCCGAGGCCUUGAAAACCUCUUAUUUGGUUGCCUCGAUUUGCAUAUACAGUCCGGGCGCGAAGCCGAAAAAUGUUUAUGUGGAAAUACUUGUAUUUUGUGUUAGAAACUAUGAAUUUUGAUCAUAAUAUUGCUAUAGUUGACUUUGGUCGAUAUUUUAGGUAAACAGACCCGGACCCGUUAUGUGACGGUCUCGGAGGAUCCGUAGGAAAAUAUGGGCCCCAGGCAUAUUCCUGGAAUCGAAAUCCGAGGUCCUAGGCCCGAGUAUGGAAUUUUUGAAAGAACUUGGUUAUCUGAAAUUAAUAUGAGAAAUUGAAAUUAAAAUGCAUUAGAAAGUGUUGGUAUCCGGCUCGUAUUUUGGUUCCGAUGCCCGGUACAGGUCUUAUAUGAGCGUUAAGCGCUUUCUGUGAAGUUUGUUUGAAAAGGACGUUAUUUGACGUAUUUCGGACUAAAAAUGGGAAAUUUGAACGCUAUGAACUUUGAAAUGAAAAUUCAUGUGUUUUGAGGUUUAAUUAUAUGUACAUGGUGUUAUAUUUGCGACUUGAUCGCACGAGUAAGUAUGUAGGAUGCUAUUGAGUUAGUAUAUAUGUUUGGUUGGGAGCCCCAAGGGCUCGAGAGUGAUUCGAAGGUGGUCCGGAAUGGUUUCACUUAGGGGAAAGAACAGUUCAAGUGUUGUAGACACCAGCGCGGCCGCAAUCAUUUCAGUGUGGUCCGCGUGCCUGUGUCAGAGGCAGGGAUUCCAGGGUGACCAGCGCGGCCGCCCACCAAAAUAGUGUGGUCCAUGCUCGGUGGGUUCAGAGGAUCCCUUGUUCCCAUUCCAUUCGAUGCGGCCGCAGCACAUUUUUGUGCGGUCUGCAUCCGGUCAUCAGAGAGGUAUAAAACCUCAAAAUGUUCAGCAAUAUUUCCACUUUUCAAAAAUCCAAAACCUAAGGAGUGAUUUUCCAAACAAUGUUUCUUCUCCAAAACGAUUGGUAAGUGAUUUCUAACUUAAUUUUCAUACUCCUUUGCAUCUUUUAACAUAAUUUCAACCUCAAUCAAAGGUUUUCACAAAUGAGAAUUUGGAAAUUGGGGUAGAACCUAGGUUUUCAUAAAAUUGAGAAUUUGGACCUCAAUUUGGAGUCUGAUUUGAAAACAAUGACAUGUAUGAACUCGUAGGGGAAUGGGUAACCCAGUUUUUAUCCGAACCUCGGGUUUUGACCAUGUGGGCCCGAGGGAAUUUUUGAAAUUUUUGGGUAAAACUUUGGGAAAUUGAUUUCUAUGCAUUCAAAUUGAUUUAACUAGCAUUUGUUGAUACAUUUGAAUAAAUAGUGAUUAGAUUCGACCGAUUUUGUGGCAAAUUCGAGGGGUAAAUCUAUCCUAGAGGCAUGAGUUGAGUUUAGAGCUUUCGAGGUAAGUGUUUGAUCUAACUUUGGCUUGACGGAAUAGAAUUAGGACAAUACUUACUAUGUGCUAUGUGGAGUCGGUGUAUAGGCAUAGUGACAGUUACCUAUGCGCCCGAGUCUAGCAUGACCGUGAGUCAUAAUUGCUCUUAAAUUCAAAAAAAAAGGGGAAACCAUUGAGCUAAUUACUUGUUAAAUAAAGUAUGAAAUGAUAGUUGAGCAGCAAAUGAAUUAGAGAAUGAAGUGGAGUACCUUUCCCUUGCCGAGACUUGUUGUUGAAUUAUUUUCCCUUGCCUGGACUUAUUAUUGAAUUGUUCUCCCUUGCCGAGAUGAUUAAUCUUGUUGUAUAUUCCUUUCACAAUUGGUUGUGACCGUGAUUGGGUGAGGAAGAGAGAUUGUGCACGAAGGAUUUUGCCGUGCCAUAUUUCUUGAUUAUUGAGCACGAAGGGUCAUUUCGUGCCUUGAUGUGAGAGUUAAGUGAGGAAAGCAUGAAGCGUGAUGCCGUCCAGAAUAGUUGACAGUUUUGGUGCAGAAAGUACGAAGGAUGAUGCCGUGCACUAUAUUUGAGAGUAAAAGCACGAAGGUUGAUUGUGGUAGGUUCGGUCUAGCCUCGUCACUAUCUCGUCGGGGUUAGGCCAGACAUUUACCAGCACAUGGGGUCGAUUGUGUUGAUGCUACGCAUAUGUGCCCCUUUUUUGCACAGGUCAGGAGACACCUUACGGACCGCAACAGUAACUUUGGAGUGCGUCUUCAGUCCAGAGACUCCUAGGUAGUUCGCUGGUGUUCGCGGACCCUGGGUAUCAUUUAUUUCAUUCAGUUUGUUUUCAUUGUAACGAAACAGACUUAGUAUGCAAUUUCUUUUAGACUGAUGUUUUUAGCACUCUCUUUUAGUAGUCCGUGAGUAGUGACACCAGAUACUGGGUAGAGGCAUGUUACAAACUUCCGCACAUUGUUACUUUGUUAAAAGUCUUCCGAAUGGUUUUUAAUUAAUUAUUUCAGUUAUUAUACUGUUUUAGAUUAAAUUUUUGUGAAAUAUUUAAAAUGGGUUGGCUUGCCUAGCUCCGACGUUAGGCACCAUCACGACUCCUGAUGGUGAGAAAAUCGGGGUCGUGACAGUCGAAUUUUGGGUCAUGACAUUAUUUUUUAUGAUUAUUUUUUUUUUUUGCGUAUUGUGUGCAGUUUAUUAUUUUUUAUUUCUAAUAUUAAUGAUAUAGAAAUUUCAACAGAAAGAUUGGUGAUAUUUUUAAUUAAAUUUGAUCAUGACCAUAUUAAUAUAAUUUGUUGAAGGGAAUUCCAAAAGUUUUUGGUGAAUUUUUCCAUUUUGAUAUAAAAUCUGCAAGUCAAUUAAUUGAAAAGUUAGGCAUUCAUGUCUUUUAAUGAAAUUAAAUAAUAUAUGAAUAUCUCGACAAAGAAUUUGAGGAUUUUUUUGAGGCAAGAAUUUUCCUUUAUUGAAUUUCAAGGUUAAAUUUUUUCCUUUAAUUUUUAUUUUACAACGAGAAUUUUACUUUCCCCUCUAAUUUUCAUUUUACAACGCAAAUACGUCUUUUAAUAAUGUUAUCUAAUUUUUAAGUUGUUACAUUCACGGUUGAGGCACACGUCCAAAUCAUAUACCCUAAGUCUAGAUUGACUUAAUAAUUUAUUUAUGAAAAAUCAUCAGUUAAUAAAUUAUUUUUUUAAUAUUUAGGUUCAUAUAAAAUUUUAACUAUUAAGUCUUUCCUUAUUUGAGUUAUGUAGGAAGUUAGGUACAACUAUAUUUUCAUUUCUAUUUACAUUAGGAAUAUCUCCUUGAAGUCAACUACGAUCAAAUAGGUUCCCAUGAGGAUUCAUGCUCAUCUUAUUAAUAACAGUGGAACAAACUUCAAAGUUUUUUUUUUUUUUGUAAUAAAAGAUUUAUUCAAAGUUGAAUCUAACGGGAUUGAAAAUUUUCCUAAAAGUUUUAUAUCCUCUUGGAGACCAACCAAACACAAUUAUCUAUUUAUACUAUAUUAAAAAUGGGAAGCCCUUAAGUUAAAAGUUAAAUUAUUUUUUUAACCUUUUAAAAAUCUAAUUAUCCUACUUAUUUUUUAAAAUUAAAAUAUUUAAAUAAAAAAGGACAAAAUUAUUAUGAAGGGUUGUGGAUACAUGUUAAAGCGUUUCACAUUAGUAAUGAGAAGUUUUAUCUAACAGUGCCUUCAAAAGAUAAAUUGCUUUUUCACCGUUUUAAAAAAUUAAUUAUCCUACUCAUUUUUAAAAAUUAUAAUAUUUAAAUAAAAUUAAAGCACAAAAUUAUUCUAAAGGGUUGUGUAUACAUGUUAAAGCUGUAACGACCCGAACGAUCAUUUUGAGCUUUAACGUGUCGUUCAUCAGUCUGAGGCCAUGAGCAGCUUCAUUUUAGGUAUUGUGACUUCUUCGCAUGGUCGGAAUUGAAAUUUAGAAAGAUCGGAAUUAAAUUUAAAUGAAAAUUAUCAUUUCGGAAGCUUAAAGUUGAAAGAAUGAACAACAAUUAGAUUUUUGAGUGAACGACCUCACAAUCAGGAUCUGAUGGUCUCAAUAGGUUCAUAUAAUGAUACCGGACUUGGCCAAAUUCGCGGCUCGGGUUUUGGAUAACCCAUGAAUAUUUUGGCAAGUAUUGGGGAAGUUAGUAUUUUGGAAGAAAUUCCUUAUGUAUGGCUUAAAGUGCGUUUCAGUGCUAUCGAUGUCCAUUUGGGAUUCCGAAAAUGGCAGUAACUCCGCGUGAUUCUGGAGUUGGGAGCGCGAUCGGAAGUGAAUUCGGAGGUUUGUAGGUUAUUUUGGAGUCGUUUGGCUAAAGAGAGAAAUUUGAAGGUUUUUGAGAAAAUUCGACCGGAAGUGAAAAUUUUGAUAUCGGGCUCGAAAUGUAAAUUUAUGGUUUAGAUAAAUUUGUUAGGUGAUUUGGGACUUAGAGGUGUGUCCGGAAUAUUUUAAUGAUGAACGGUGUAGAAUUAAGCUUGAAUCGGCAAAGUUAGUAUUUUGGCGAUUUUCGGUUGAUAGGUGAGAUUUUGAUCCGAGGGUCGGAAUGGAAUUUCGAGAGUUUUUGUAGCUUCGUUAUGUUAUUUUGGACUUGUGUGCAAAAUUUGAAAUUAAUCGGACGUAAUUUGAUAGGUUUCGGCAUCAGAAAGAGAAGUUAGAAACUUCAAAGUUCUUCAAGAUUGAAUUGAGGUGUAAUUAAUGAUUUUAGCAUUGUUUGAUUUGAUUUGAGGCCUCGAGCAAGUCCGUAAUGUAUUUUGGGACUUGUUAGUGUUAUUUAUCGGGGUCCUGGGGGCCUCGGUUGUGUUUUGGGUAUUGAUCACGCUCUUAUUUGAUGUUUCAACGUCGUUUCUUUAGACGUAAAGGAGUACUAUAUUAAGCUAAUGAGCUCCAAAUCAUGUUUUGUUUGAAACAUUAGAUCCGUGUCAAAAUUACUGAGCCAUUAGAAAAAGAAUCAUCGAAUUUGGAUAUCGUAUGAGGAAGUUAUGCUCAUUCGUGUCGGGGAAAACAGUUGCUUCUGGUAUGCUCGAAAUUGCGAACAUUUCCAUCCCAAUUGCGAUGCCAGUUCGCAAUUGCAAACUUUUUUGUCGCAAAUGCGACCUUUCCCAGCCUCUCUUUUUUCACAAUUGCGAAGGACUUAUUCGAUUUUGCGAGGGUUCGUAAUUGCGAACCCCAGAUCACAAAUGCGAUUUCUGCAGCUUGAUUUUAGCUGUGUACCUCGAGUUUUUACUUCAUUUUAUCAUAUUUUGAGACCUAGGUCCGAGAAUGGACGAUUUUGAGAGUGGAUUUUCGUAUCAAAUUACUGGGUAAGUUCCUCUAACUAGUUUUCAAUUAUAUUUUUUGAUUAUACCUUUGAUUUAACAUCAAAAUUCAUGAGAAUCUAGAGGAGAAUUUUGGUUUUAAAGAAAAACCUAGAAAUUGAGAUUUUUGAAUUUUGACCACGAUUUUGAGUAUGAAAUUAAGAGAAAGUUAUAUAUUUGAGGUCCUAUGGUCAUGGGUAACUUUAUCUUUGAAAUUUUUUGGAUUCCGGGCACGUGGGCCUUAGGCAUUCUGGUCAUUUUACAAAGCGGAGUUGGAAAAUAGUAUAUUUUGAACUGUUAGCAAGUAUUUGCAUUUAUUCUCAUUAUUUUGCCGUUAUUUGGCUAUUUUUUGAGCAUUAUGUGUUGGUUCAAGCCUUCGAAAAAAGUAUAGAAUGCCGGUUAUGGAUCUUCGAAGUGAGGUGAGUCUCCUUUCUAAUCUUGUGAGGGGGAAAUUACCCCAUAGCUGAGGUGGCGAGAGUCCGUGCAUAGCUACUAUUAUGCUAUUGUCCGAGUAGACUAGUACCCAAAAGCAUGUUAUACUUGGAUUAAUUGUGAACCCAUUAAUGGCUUGGAAUACUUUAAUCACAUUAAAUUACUAAAUGAAUUUCUAAAUGACUUAAGAUCUGUUUUUCUCAAAUGAUUGAAUAUAAUCGACCUCUCAUAAAUAUCUGCUUCAUGAUGACUUCUUGACUGAUUAUCUGUCUGCGUGUGUUUAUAUUUCUGUUUGAACGGGCAGAUCACCUCGGUGAAAUGGAUACAUUUAUGGUACGGGCCGCUCGACCCUCGGCAGUGCACACCUUACAUUUCUGUUGGAGUGGGCCGUCGACCUUGGCAUGAUUUGCGCAUGUUUGUGAUGUUGUCUUCAACUCAUUUGAGUUGUUUUAUGCCACAUUACGGCUCGAGAUCUUUUUAUUAAUAAUAACAAGGAACCUAAGAGAAUUUUCCAUGAAAGAAUUAUAUGACUACUUGUUUUCCCAUAUCUGGAUUAGAAUCAUGUUUAUAAAACAAAUCCACUGCUUGAAUAUAUUUAUUAAGGAUAAAUAGUCAUUGGACUGUAACUGAGUGUCAGAGUUGACCAUCUCGUCUCUACUCCUUCGGGAUUAGGCGGGACACUAAUUGGGUACAUGUUGGUUUUUACUGAUACUACACUUGUUGCGCAUUUUGUUGCACAAGUAUAUGUGAUUCCAGUGGUCUAUUGGACGUAGCAGCACGGAUGAUUCUGGGACUAGGUGAGCUGCAUCAUUUGAGGCAGCCACAGCUAUGGUAGUCCCUUUUUAGUGGUAUAUUUAUUUUCCGUCCAUUGUAUUCCGCACGGACGAUGUAUUGUUAUUUCUCUUAUCAGUAGAUGCUCAUACAGUUGUGACUCCAGUUUCUGGGGUGGUUUGAAAUCUAGUAUUACUGGAUUAACUUUUAUUUUUUAUUUGAAAAUCUAUAUUCUUUAAAAAUUUGUAAAUAUGGAAGAAAAAUCAUGUAUUACCAAAGUGUUAAAGACAAGAUUUUGUUUAAGUAAUUUGGUUGGAUUGCCUGACAGCGGUGUCCGGCGCCAUCACGACCCUUAGUGGAUUUUGGGUCGUGGCAACAUGGUAUCAGAGCUCUAGGUUUCUAUCGGUCUCACGAGUUAUAAGCAAGUAUAGUAGAGUCUCGCGGAUCGGUACGGAGACGUCUAUACUUAUCCUCGGGAGGCUAUAGGGCUGUUAGGAGUACUUCCCUUCUUGAUUUCCUUAUCGUGCGAUUUGAUUCCUCUAAGGCUUAUGCCUUUGUUUCCUUCCUGCUUAAUCUUUUGCGACGUAGAGCGCUUGUUGAAAAUCAAGAAUUGAAAAAACUCAAUGGCACUACAGAUGUGAUACGGGAUGUUUCUCCCGGUAUAGUUGAUUGGACUAUUAUGGUCGCUCUGUGGAGGGAUAUCGUAUUGUUUCGGCUCAGUAGCAGUACUCUGAGGGCCUUCAGGUUAGGCACAGGUUUUCAUGAUGCAUAUGAAUGAUUCUCUGCAGUAUUGAUAUGAUGGCGGGAUAUUUUCCUACGUGUAAGACAAUGAAUGACUCGAAGGGGAGUUUACUCGUUUCGUGAUCUAAAGAUUCGGCAUUUAUUCCCAGUAGGGGAAAGGUAAUCAGGCUGAAGAUAUUCGAGUUGGGAUAAUGAGAUGACGUGACUUGGUGUUUUCAAGUGUAAUGGAGUCUCCAGCGGGGGCGUGGUAUCGUCAUCCUCGAUUGAAUGUCCAAGAUUGCCAGAGUUAUUGUUUUCUGCUAUUCGCCCUUGGGGAAGGAUAUUGCGAGUCAAUAAUGAAUAUGCGACUUAUGAGUUCGAGAGCUAUGAAGAUAGAUUUUAUGUAUGGAAACAAUUGAGCAGCAAUAUAUGAGGAAGGACACGUGGGAAGUGUCAGACGGUGUUUAAUACUUCUAGAAGGUCAAGUACGAGGAACAAGGUCGAAUGGUCGAUUAAAGGGUUGAGUUCCGCCAAAGUGGGGGAGCGGCGGUCAUUGCAUAUAGGCUUGGAAGUAGGAUGACUACACGCCUUAAGGAGGGUUUGGAAUGAUUGAAUAAUUUUAGAGAUUAGUGAUAAGGGCCUACAGAGCUAACUUGAAGCAUGGGCCAUCAUGCGGCAGAAGAUUUAAAAUGGCGGAGAGGAGAUGCUUGAAACACGGGAGGAUGCAGCAUAACCUUGAAAUAGAAGUGUAUUGUCGCGUAUUUAAUUGAUGUCUAUGAGAGUUAAAUGGACCGGUGCAGUCAUGGAGUAAGCAUGGACUCACGAUAGGUUAUUAGAGUCAUGGUGACAAUACCUUGUGCAGCAGCGUUAAAGGAUGCCAGAAGUUGCUUCUACAAGCGGGUUAUUCCCUGUGAGCAGGUUAGCGGUGGCGUGGUUGGAGAAGCUUCUGCAAGGAUUUUUUUUAGGUUUUUCAACAAAGAGAUAGGUCGCGCGAAUAUGGUGGAUGAUUCAGAGUUUUUACUGUAGAAUUCUGAGAAAUUUUGAUAAUUUAUGGCGCGAGGCUAUGCCCAUAAGAGGUAAAGAGGUCGGGCGAACUCGGGAAGUAUGAAAUGAUGGCUUCAAGCUAAGUGGGAGAGUCCUACCACUUAUGAUUGGACUGUAUGAUUAGCUACUUGCAAUAUUUCUGGUUAUUAGUAUAUUUAUGGGUUAUUUUAGCUAUGAGAAAAGACCAAAAGUGGUGUUUCCAGCAAAUGAAUUGUUGGCGGCAUGUGAUGGUUGGCCUUAUUUGCUCAUGUUCGGACUUGGAAAAAGAAUGCACGAUUUAUGCCUCGUAUAAAUGCAGGUUUUAGAGGAAGUGAUUUUGCCGAGUGCCGCAUCAGGAGGGCAUUCAUGUGUUGUAAAUAUUUAUGGAAUGGAUAUGAUUUCUCGUUAUUAGUAUAUUGAUGGGUUAUUUUAGCUAUGAGAAAAGACGAAAAGUGGUAAUUCGAGCAAAUGAAUUGUUGGAGGCCUGCGAUGGUUGGCCUUAUUGGCUCAUGUUCAGACUUGGAAAAGGAAUCCAGGAUUUAUGUCUCAUAUAAAUGCAGGUUUUAGAGAAAGUGAUUUCGCCGAGUGUUGCAUCGGGAGGGCAUUCGUAUGUCAUAAAGAUUUAUAGAGUGGAUUAUGUUUGGGACCCAGUCGGAUCGGGUGGCUCUCAAUAAUGGUCCUAGUGAAUUAAGAAGUUGAAGUGUGGUGCUUAAUGAUUUCAAGCCUAUGAGUACGUUUUUGAAUCAAGCUUUUUAGAAGCUUAUGAGAAGGUGCCCAGAAUGUUCUACGAUAUUUUGACUUGCGGGUGGCAUUUGAGAGAUACAAAAUGGUUCAUGACAUUUGAGGCAGCAUGGUUUUGUGAUUCAUGGUCGCUCGGGAUGAGUGCAUAUGAAGUAUGUUUGUGUUGAAUGAAAAAGUACUAUUUUUAAGGAAAUCAAGGAUUUAGUAGAGGGCAGUAGAUUGAUUAGCCAUGGUUAACUUGGCAUAUUGGUAGUGGUGAUCAGUACAUCCAACGUGAUCAACUGAUGCAUGUGAUUAGUGGCGGUGGGUGUGAUGCUUGUAGGCUGCAAUGAUUGAUGCUACUCAGAAUCAUUCUUUUGUUAUGGCCUGUUAUGAGUAGGCGAAUCCCGGAAGGGUUAUGGUGGCUUGGACCACUACUUAGAGGUUGAAAUAUUCGAUGGUAAUGAGAAUUCGCCUGUAUGUUGCUACAGUUCUCCUGAAAUGUAUCAAAUGAAAAGUUUAUAUGAUGAAGUGUUAAUCUAUCGGUGAUUCUAGAGUUGUGAUGGAAAUCAUGUCUAUCGUAUAUGGGCACGUUGGGUGCAGUGAGUGGUAUGGAAUUUGAAGUGAGAACCAAGGUUGAAGUUUUGUAAAUGACUGUGAUGCCACGAGGAUGAGCAGGAAAGGAAUUUUAGUAUUUUGAGUAAGAUUGAUAUUGUCAUUAGUAACACCUGAGAUUGGUGUUUUGUGAGAAAGGCUUUACCUCCUGGUUAGGGAUUCUUGACCGCUUUUAUGUAUCUGUAUAAUUGAAUGCGCAAACACGUUAGUUAGUUUGGAAUAUUAUGGGAGCUUGUUGCACUGAAAGUGUGACAUGUAGUCACUCAAUUGAGUAAGAGAAUUAAACAAAAGUAUGAGGAUUUUGGUAAUAUCAUUAAUUUGAGAACGUAUACCUGAAGGGCACUUUGUUUAUUAGGAUAUGAAUGAAGGAGGUUGCUACGGUUAUAAUGGUUAUUAUUAUAUCUUACGAGGAAGAAUGAGUUAGUAUGAACUUUUGAAAGGUUAUUAGCCAAGUUGGUGCAAUCAUAAAUCGGCUUGAGAUCAGCGGAUUGAUUUAUAUGUGAUCAGGGCUUUGUAUCAUGCCCGUUUUGUGUUCGUUUCAGCGAGCGUUCCCUAUGGGGGAACAGUCAGGGUGUUAUUCUGUCAUCAGCUAUUCCAGAUAAUGACGUAUUCUGUCGUAUGAGUUGUGAAACAGCUUGGUGAAUUUCUUAUGUGUUGAGCUUCCGCGUAGCGUUAAUGUUAUAUGAGCAGGACGGGUCUUGAGAUUCAGAUCAUGUAUCGCACCUCAGUUGUGCUUGAUUUUUGUAGCCUAUAGUGCUAUAUGUUUCCUCAGGGAUAGUAUUAUGCACCUCAGAGUGUUUAUGACCGAUAUUCGGUAUAUUCAUGUGGUGAGCGAUUUAGUUCGAUGUGUAUCUCCUUAUGUGAGUUCUACGCGUGGAUCGGGUGGCACGCCGCCAUGGUUAUAUUAUAUGGAUCGGGCAUCACGUCGCCAUUGUUACAUUGUGUGGAUAGGGUGGUACGCCUCCAUGGUUAGCACGCCUCCAUGGUUAGUACCCUGCCCGCAACAGCAUGAUGUUCAGUACAGUUCCCCCUAGUUUCUUUUCUGUGUUCUGUUUCCCAUUUUUCUGAGAAAAACUCGUAUAAGUUGUUGCACACAUUGCACAUAUGAUUCGCGGGCAGGGUAAUUAAAUGUCCGUUUCAGAGAUCGUAUUCUCCUUAUACCAUAUCCUAAUCGGUAGCCUAUUGGCACAUGGUGGCAACAUAUGGGACUCCUGAUUGUGUCCGAGGUGGCUUAUUGCCUGAGCAGUUCGUAUUGGGUGAGAUGAAAUUAUGGAAUUUAGGAUCAGUGCAAUCUGACCACAUGAAAUAUAUUAAAAAGCAGAGAUCCUUAUUUUGUUUAGAAUGUUGUAAUGGUUGUGUCAGAGAUAUAGACCAAUGACUUUUUGAUUCAGCUGUUGGUUAUGAAUUUUGGCACAUCUCUUCCGUUGUGUCAUUGUUGUAAAAGUUAGAACAAGACCGAUGUAGGUCAUGAGGUGCAAUGGGCGCAUUUGAUUCGUUGAAUUUUGGAUAAGUUGAUCAUAAAAAUAUUAUCGUGGUCCUAUGUAUUUUGUGUUGCAAAGUAAGAAUCAAGCAAAGUUAUGCAGUCAUGUUUGAGGGAAGUGUGUGGUGAGUGAUUUGGUGAUCUCUUGAUGAAAGCAAGCCAGGCAUGGAAUUCCGGAUGUUGGAAUUGGGAUCUAAGGUUUAUUUGCUUGAAUAAAAAGGAAAUAUCUUCAGAAUGUAUUGAGAUAAUGUUCUCAGCUAAGUUGUGGAAGCACCGGAAGGUGCGUAAGGUGCUAAACAGUGGUUUCAGACUACUUUGGUAUAGUUCUCAACACGUUCGAGGACGAACGUAUGUUUAACUGGGAGAGAAUGUAACGACCCGAUAAGUUAUUUUGAGCUUUUGUGUGUCGUUCAGCGCCCUGAGGUGAUGAGCAGCUUCAUUUCAGGUAUUGUGACUUGUUCGCAUGGUCGGAAUUGGAAUUUAGAAAGAUCGAAAUUAAAUUUAUAUGAAAAUUCUCAUUUUAGAAGCUAAACGUUGAAAGAAUGAACAAGGAUUGGAUUUUUAAGUGAACAACCUCAGAAUCAGGAUCUGAAGGUUCUAGUAGGCUCGUAUAAUGAUAUCAGACUUAGGCAUAUGCCCGGCUCGGGUUUUGGAUAGCCGGGGGUGUUUUGGCGCAUAUUUUGGAAGUAAGUAUUUUGGGAGAAAUUCCUUAUGUUUGGCUUAAAGUGUGUUUAAGUGUGAUCGAUGUCCGUUUGGUAUUCCGAGACUGGGAGUAGCUCCGUACAGUGAUUCUGAAGUUGGGAGCCCGAUCCGAAGUAAAUUCCGAGGUCCGUAGGUCAUUUUGAGGUAGUUUGGCUAAAGAUAGAAAUUUGAAGGUUUUUAAGAAAAUUCGACCGGAAGUGGAAAUUUUGAUAUCGGGCUCGAAAUGCAAAUUUUAUGGUUUGGAUAUCAUUGUUAGAUGAUUUGGGACUUAGGAGUGUGUCUGAAAUAUUUUUGUGAUGACCGGUGUAGAAUUAAGUUUGAAUUGGCAAAGUUAGUAAUUUGGCGAUUUCCGGUUGAUAGGUGAGAUUUUGAUCCGAGGGUCGGAAUGAAACUUUGAGAGGUGCUAUGGCUUCUCUAUGUCAUUUUGGACUUGCGAGAAAAAUUUAUAGUUAAUCAGACGUGAUUUGAUAUGUUUCGGCAUCGGAAAUAGAAGUUGGAAACUUUAAUGUUCUUCAACCGUGAAUUGAGGUGUAAUUCAUGAUUUUAGCAUUGUUUGAUAUGAUUUGAGGCUUCGAGCAAGUUUGUAAUGUGUUUUGUGACUGGUUGGUGUUAUUGGUCGGGGUCCCGAGGGCCUCGGGUGUGUUUCGGGUUGUGAUCACGCUCUUACUUGAUGUUUCAAUAUCGUUUCUUUGGACAUAAAGGAGUACUAUAUUAAGCUAAUGAGCUCUAAAUUCAAUUUUUUGAACCAUUAGAUCCGUAUAGGAAUUAUGGCGCAAUAGGAAAAAGAAUCAUUGAAUUUGGACAUCAUAUGAGGAAAUUAUGCUCGUUUUCGUGUCGGGAAAAACUGCUGCUUCUAAUAUGCUCGCAAUGGCGAACAUUUCCAUUGCAAUUGCAAUGCCAGUUCGCAGUUGCGAACUUUUUUGUCGCAAAUGCGACCCUUCCCAGCCUCUCUUUAUUCGCAAUUGCGAAGGACUUCUUCACUUUUGCAAGGGUUCGCAUUUAUCGCAAAUGCGACUUCUGCAACAUGAUUUUAGCUGUGUACCUCGAGUUUUUGCUUCAUUUUAUCAUAUUUUGAUCCCAAGUCCGAGAAUGGGCGAUUUUGAGAGUGGACUUUCAUAUCCAAUCAUUGGGUAAGUUCCUCUAACUAGUUUUCAAUUAUAUUUUGUGAUUAUACCUUAGAUUUAACAUCAAAAUUCAUGAGAAUUUAAAGGUGAAUUUGAGUUUUAAAGAAAAACCUAGAAAUUGAAAUUUUUGGAUUUUGGCCAUGAUUUUGAGUAUGGAAUUAAGAAAAAAUUAUACAAUUGAGUUCCUAAGGUCAUGUGUAAUUUUUAUCUUCGAAAAAAUUCAGAUUCCGGACACGUGGGCCCGAGGUCAUUUUGAUCAUUUCACAAAACUGAGUUGGGAAAUGGUAUAAUUUGAAUUGUUAGCAAGUAUUUGCGUAUAUUCUCAUUAGUUUGUUAUUAUCUGAGAAUCUAAAAGAGAAUUUGGGUUUUAAAGAAAAACAUAGAAAUUGAGAUUUUUGAAUUUUGACCACGAUUUUGAGUAUGAAAUUAAGAGAAAAGUAUAUAUUUGAGUUUCUAAGGUCAUGGGUGACCUUUAUCUUCAAAAAAAUUUAGAUUCCGGGCAUGUGGGCCCGAGGGCAGUUUGGUCAUUUCACAAAGCGGAGUUGGGAAAUGGUAUUAUUUGAAUUGUUAGCUAGUAUUUGCGUAUAUUCUCAUUAGUUUGCCACUAUUUGCUAGUUUUGGAGUAUUUUGCGUUGGUUCAAGCCUUCGAAAGAACGUAGAAUGCCGGUUAUGGAUCUUCGGAGCGAGGUGAGUCUCCUUUCUAAUAUUGUGAGCGGAAAAUUACCCUAUAUGUGAGUUAAACUUAUUAUGUUCUCCUAAUUGUGGGGGCUACGUACGUACGAGGUGACGAGAGUCCGUGCGUAGCUACUAUUAUGCUAUUGUCCGGGUAGACUGGGACCUAAAAGCAUGUUAUGCUUGUAUUAGUUGUGAAUCCAUUGAUGUCUUGGAAUGCUUUAAUCACAUUAAGUUAAUAAAUAACUUUCUAAAAGACUUAAGCUCUGUUUUUCUCAAAUAAUUAAAGAGAAUUGGUCUCUCUGGGAUAUUUGCUCCAUGAUGACUUCUUGACUGAUUAUCUGUCUGCGUGUGUUUAUAUUUCUUUUGGAACGAGCCGAUCGCCUUGGUAAAAUGGAUGCAUCUAUGUUACGGGCCGCUCGGCCCUCGGCACUGCACCCGUUAUAUUUCUGUUGGAGCGGGCCGUCGACAUCGGCAUGAUUUGCGCAUGUUUGUGUUGUUUAUUGAAUUCAUUUGAGUUAAUUUAUGCCACAUUAUGGCUCGAGAUCAUUUUAUUAAUUAUAAUAAGGAACCUAAGGGAAUUUUCCAUGAAAGAGUUAUAUUGCUAAUUGUUUUCCCAUGUCUGGAUGAGAAUCAUGGUUAUAAAAUAAAUCCACUGCUUGAAUAUAUUUAUUAAGGAUACAUAGUCAUUUGACUGCUAGUGAGUGUCAGAGUUGACCAUCUCGUCUCUACUCCUUCGAGAUUAGGCGGGAGACUCAUUGGGUACACGUUGUUUUUGUACUCAUAUUAUACUUGCUGUGCAUUUUGUUGCACAGGUAUAUGUGAUUCAAGUGGUCUACUGGACGUAGCAGCACGAAUGAUUCUGGGAUUAAGUGAGCUGCAUCAUUGAGACGGCCGCAGCUAGGGUAGUCCUUUUCCAGUACUGUAUUUAUUUUUCGUCCAUUGUAUUUCGGACGGACGGUGUAUUUUUAUUUCUCGUAUCAGUAGAUGCUCAUUCACUUGUGACUUCGGUUCUGGGAUGGUUUAAAAUAUUGAAUUGCUGGCUUAACUUUUAAAUUUGAUUUGAAAAUAUAUAUUCUUUAAAAAUUUCUAUAUAAGGAAGAAAAAUUAUCUAUUUCCAAAGUGUUAAAAAUAAGAUUUUGUUUAAGUAAUUUAAUUAGCUUGCCUGACAGCAGUGUCCGGCACCACCACAACCCUUAAUGGAUUUUGGAUCGUGACAAAAGCGUUUCACAUUAGUAAUGAGAAGUUUUGUCUAACAGUGCCUUUUCAUAAACUCAUUUACAAUAAACAAUUUUAUCUAACAGUGCCUUUUCAUAAACCUAUUUACAAUAAACAAACACCAGGCACAGCCCUCCUAUAUGUAAAUCCUACCCACAGUCUUUUACUUCUCACAAAACUUGUAUAAUCCGUUUUAGUUAUUAAACUUCAAAAAACUUACGUAAAUGCAAUAACUUGUAUAAUCCGUUUUUGUUAUUCAACUUAAAAUUUUUUACGUAAAUAUUGGACGCUGAAUUUCUACUUCUUGUUGUGCUAUCAGUAGGAGAGCCUCUAUCUGAUGAAAUGUAUCUGCUGGUGCUCUUUGCGGCUGAAAAUGCUACAAGAAUGUGAAUUCUAUGUCUUUAUAUCCAUAAUGUAAUAUUGUUUUGGACAAUAACUAUUUUUUGCGUGUAUUAAAUGAAAGCAUAUUAUAUUACUUGGUAUAUGUCGACGUACAAUUUGAAAUUUUUGUCGAUUGCAGAUGUUGGUUUAAUUUAGUAUCCAUAUAUUACGACCAUAAUAAUAUGUUUUUGGUUUAAUUUUUUUCCUUUGGUCAGAUUUUGGAGAUCAACAGAAAGAGGUAAGUAUGAUCUCCUUAUGUUUUUCAUUUAUUUCUUCACGUGAAGGGAAAAAAUAUUAAAAUAAUUAUUGAUAUUAAUUAGUAAAUUUGUGAAUGCAAAUAUAUACAAAUUAAAAUAAGUCAAUGAAAAAGUAACAGACUUUAAAAAGAUACGGCCAACUCUCAUGAUUUUUAAAGGUAAUAAUUGGAUCAAAUAUCUUGAUUAAUAAUAUGUAAAUAUCUUAGUCAAGUGUAAGAUAAUUUUUAUUUCGUAAUUAUAAAGCUUAUUAAAGGGUUUGUAGGUGGAGGGAAAUAUAGGGGUGGAUAAGAGUUUCUUCCUUUAUUGAGUUAUUGAAUAGAAUCAAUAAUUCUUUUUAACUUACACUUACGUUUAUAACUUAUAUUAUCUAUUUCUCAAACAUAAUUUUAAUAUUAUUUAUGCAUUUAUUAAAAAAUAUACUUAUUGAGUUGCGGUACAUACAUAAUUUGUGCGGAUUAAUUAUCUAUCUAUAUUUAUAUUAUAUUAGAAAUGGGAGCCAAAACUUAAAAGUUAAAUUAUUAAAAUUGCUCUUAUCUACGUAAAAUAUCCUACUCAUUAAAAGAAACCUUGAAAAUUUUAAAAUGAUGACCCGUGACCGUUCCGAUAAUCUAGCACCAAAUAGAUGGCCAUUAGCAAAUACAUAAUACGUGUUGCAACUUUGUCAAGGAUCACAAUUAAAAAAAUUAGAUUUUAGCAACGAACAAAUUCUGUACCUAAAUUGAAAAUUCGUCCCUAAUCUCAUUUAAAGAAGAAUUACUAAGAAAUUCCGUUAGCUACGAGCGUUUUAGCGACAUAUUAGCCCUCUCUUGUUUGCCUUGCUGAUGGAUGCUCUAACCCGACAUAUUCAAGGGGAUGUGCCUUGGUGUAUGCUAUUUGCUGAUGACAUAGUCUUGAUAGAAGAGAUGAGGGUCGAUGUUAGCGAGAUGUUAGAGGAAUGGAGACAGACUCUCGAGUCUAAGGGUUUCAAAAUAAGUAGGUCUAAGUUAUUGAGAGGUUAUAUGUAUGGAGACAGACUCUCGUGUCUAUGGGUUUCAAAAUAAGCAGAUCUUAGACAGAAUACCUGGAGUACAAGUUUAGCGCCGCGCCGAGCGAAAUAGCAUGGACGUGAAGAUUGGAUCUCAGGUCAUCGCCAAGAGGGACAGCGUUAGAUAUCUUGGGUCGGUGAUUCAGGGGGGACGAAGAGAUCGACGGGGUCGUCACUCAUUGUAUAGGAGCGGGGUGGUUAAAGUGGAGUCUUGCAUCAGGAGUCCUGUGUGACAAGAAAGUUCCACAGAAACUCAAGGGAAAAUUUUAUCGAGUUGUGGUUAGACCUGCAAUGUUGUAUGGGCGGAGUGCUGGCCACUGAAGAACUCUCAUGUUCACAGAAUGAAGGUUGUGGAGAUGAGGAUGCUCAGGUGAAUGUGCGGGAUCACCAUGUUAUAUAUGAUUAAGAACGACGUUAUUCGAGAGAAGGUGGGGGUGGCCCCGGUGGAUGAGAAGAUGUGAGAAGCGAGGCUGAGGNNNNNNNNNNNNNNNNNNNNNNNNNNNNNNNNNNNNNNNNNNNNNNNNNNNNNNNNNNNNNNNNNNNNNNNNNNNNNNNNNNNNNNNNNUAGAAUGCGGGUUUCCGAGGACAUGGCCCUUGAUAGGAAAGUUUGGAGGUCUAGUAUCAGGGUUGUAGGAUAGAGGCUCCUAGAAUUUUUCGUACUCCUCACCCGGGGUUGGGUGAGGCUUGGCAGGGCUAUCCAUAGAUGAUUUGUGUUUAGGAUUGUGUCUUCCUUAUGGUAGGUAUUUAUAGUAGUUACUGUAUGAUAUUAUUGCAUGCUAUUUUAUUUGUUGUUACUAUGUUUGGAUAGUUAUUUGCGUUAUUUUCUGCUUGAUUUACUAAUACUCUUUUGUUUUUAUUUUUGUUUUUCCUUUCCUUCACUGAGCCGAGGGUCAAGUGGAAACAACCUCUCUGCCUUUUCGGGUAAGGGUAAGGCUCGUCUACACAUUACCCUCUCCAGACCCCACUUUAUGGGACUAUACUGGGUAGGUGUUGUUGUUGUUUGUAGUGGAUAUCAUAACAGUAUAAAAAGUCACACAUGCCAUUUUUCCAAAAGCGCCAAUUGAAAACGUUAUUUAGUUUUAAAAGAAGUAUUUUUGCUACCAUAUCAUUUUUUGCUAAGGAAAAUUCUAAUUUCACCCAUGAAAAACACGAAAAUGGCUUUCUCCUGCACAUCAUCUUUCUUUUAAGUAACUGAAGCACAAAUGUGGAGAGAAAUAAUAUCUUUAGAACUGUAAUGACCCGACCCGACGGCUUAGGUAUCUCUGGCCUAUUUUCCCCAUUUUAUGCUUCUAUAUGUUUCAUUAUAUGUGUUUAGAGAAUUUGAAGUAAUUCGAAAGUAGUGCGGUUAGAAAUGUGACAAUUAGUCUCUUUAUAAUAAGGUUAGUUUGGAAAAGCCAAUUGAACAUUGAUUUAUGAGUUACAGGGCUCGAAAUGGAUUUCCUAUGAUUUGACUAGUUUCGGGGCGAUGAUUUGUGACUUAGGAGCGCAAUCGGAACUGAAUUUGGAGGUCUGGUGUAGAAUUAGGCUUGAAUUGACUAAGUUUGAAUUUCGGCGAAUUCCGGUUGAUAGGUGAGAUUUUGAUCCGGGGGUCCGAAUGGAAUUUGGAGAGCUGUUGUAGCUUCGUUAGGUGAUUUUCGAUAUGUCUACAAAUUUUCAAGUCAAUUGAACGUUGUUUGAUCCAUGGUUCAGAAUUGAAUUUUGACAGUUACAGCAGCUAUGUUAGGUGAUUUUGGAUAUGCAUGCAAAUUUCAAGACCAGUCGGAGGUGCUUAGGUCGGGUUUUGGAUCAAAUGUGUGUUUCGAAAGUUUUAGAAGGACUUAGCCUUGAAUCCAAUGUAAAUUUGGUGUUUGAUGUUAGUUUUGGUAAACUAAGAUUGAAUGAUUGUAUGUGAUAUUUAGCAUGUUUGUAUGCGAUCCCGAGGAGUUCGAGUGAGUUUCGGAUAAGUUUGGGCUGCGUUGUGCUCGUUUUUUUAUGUUUCGAUGUUAUUUCUUCAAGUAUAUAUUAAAGAAAUAAGCUCCGAUUACUGGUUUGAAUGAAGCACUAGAUCCGUAUCCUAAUUAUGGACCCGUAUCAAAAAGAAUCAUCGAAUUUAGACAUCGUAUGAGGAUUUUAUGACCGUUUUACCAAGGUUGCCCAGAUUUUCAAGUUAAUGACGAAAUUACCCCUGCCGGCGUAUUAAAAACCUGCACUAUUUGCAAAUCUUAAAGCCUACAUAUCUCCUUCAUUUUAAGGUCAAAUUGAGUGAUUCAAAAGUCUAAAUUAAUUAGAAUUAAAUCCAUUGGGAGCAGUAAAACGUGUGAACAGUAUACCUAUAAAGAUCAAGUCGAGUUUUCUUCAAAUUUUUAAACAGAAAGAAGCUUGCGAGGCGAUUUUUAAGAGAUGAAAUCAGUGGGUAUCACAGAGGUAAGUUAUUUUAUUAUUAAAACUUGUUCAUAGGUGAAUAUAAACCAUAAUCCUAGCCUUUAAUUCAUGAAAUACAGUAGAAACAUAAGAUUUUAGGGCCUGAAUUAUGAGACCUUUAGGGGUCGAUUUGAGGGGUCAAACGGACUCCAAUUUUGGUGUUCUUUAUAUGUAAGGAAUUGGGAGAAGAUGAAGAAAACAACCCAGUUCCAACAAUGCACUUCUCGGUACAUCAUCGAUAGGGGAAAGCGGAACAGCUUGACGCUGUAUACUAGUGUAGGAUCAGAUCCCAAAGAUAGUAAGUAUUUUCUUUCUUAUGAAAGAAAGUCUUUUUCANNNNNNNNNNNNNNNNNNNNNNNNNNNNNNNNNNNNNNNNNNNNNNNNNNNNNNNNNNNNNNNNNNNNNNNNNNNNNUCUUUUUCAAAGAUUCUAUAUAAAUUUAUCUAUGAAACCGAGAUAGUUACCUUUCAUAAAAUUCUAACACUAGUAGAAAUGCCUAUGCUUUAUUCUUCCGAAGGUGGGAAAAAAGAUAAAACUAAACAAACGGAUUAUUCAUCCAAAUUUCAGUUUGAAACUCAUGCAAUUAACCUAUUUUCCUUUUGGUUAACCCUA